UUUUUUUUUGGUUAUCUCUCAGCUGAUACUAUAUUCGUGAGAUUUUACAUUGAGAUUGUUGCAAAAUUUUCUUUUCAGUUUUUUUCUUUCUUAUUACAUGUUAUGUCACUUGACUUCUCUCCAUGACAUGGUGUGCGAUGAUAUGAAAUAUGUUGCCAAUGAACAAGAAAUGCGGAAUAGACAAACGCCGUCUUUAGAAGCUAAUCACUGAAACAAAUGGCGGACAUCAUCAUCGUUAAGAAACACUGGCCACGGUAGGCUGACGCUUCAGACACGUCAGCUGGGGAUGGGAUCCGUGUCCUGCUGCAAGCUUGCAACUGUUGACAGCCAUGCUAUAGAUUGAGCAUCCGAUCAUGGUCCCGGAACUGACCACCAUGCCAAAAUAUUCCUUCGACAAACAGUUCGCACACAGAACCAUGACAAUGAUGUAAUUAAGAUGUGGUAUGGCGAGGGCCUGUACAAGUGUCACUUUGUUUUACUGUCGAUUAAGUGUAAUUUCUAAUCACCAGCGGGCGGCGUAUAGUCAGAGGAAGAAGGAGGCUAGUACGUAUGAUCUUGAAUGUAAUUUUAUUAUUUACUGGUCAUUUUAUGUCCAGUUGUGUAUCAAUUGUACCAGUUGUGUAUGUGUGUAGUGUUAAUAUUCAUCACCCACGAUGCAGAAUAAGUUAUUCUUCACCCGAGGUAAUCUUACAAUCACUUCAUAAUUAAAUUACAUUUAAAAUUCAAAUUAUUACAUUCAUAUUGAUUCACUGUAUAAAAUUUGGCAUAAGAAAAUAAAAAUAGGUCAUAAGACGGGAAAAUUUGUAAUUUAUGUAAAUUUUACACUAUGUUUUUACGUUUGUAAUUUUACAUAACAUAAAAUAUUUUUUACAACGAUUAUAUAUUUUCUUACGGUCUCUUUUUAUGUUGAAAAUAAGUCAAAACUUACAGAACGUAAAAUUACGGUGCAUUGAUGGUAAAAUAGAGGGGGGUGAAGAAUAAUCAUUCCUCACCCAGGAUGACGAAUAGUCAAUCCGGAAAAAUCCAUCCUACCACCCAGUGGUAGUUAUCCCACAUGUCUCAUAUACUAUCAUAUGGUAUUCUAUAUGUUACUUUAUCAUUGUAAGUAUAUUCAUAUAUUAUAUAUAAGAUAAUCCAAAGUGGGUAACAUGAAAAAAUUGCAAGUUGUCCCAUAAUUUUUAUUGUAUUUAUGAAAUACGUAUAUAUUUGUACGUAAAAUGGAGCAUACUGAAAAUACGAUGCAUACUACCUAAAAGUACUAUAUAUACUACUUAAACAUUUUUAUAUACUACAUACUACGUGUACAUACUCUUCAAUUUGGUAGAUACUACACACAACAUACAAAUCUCAAGUGGUUAUAACUACCACUGAUGGUAGAUAAAAUUUGUAUGUAUGUAUAUAUUAAUUAGAUCUAAGAUGUUCUUUGAAUAUCUUUAUUCAAAAGAAAAGGCGGUUCAGCUUGCAAGAUAAUAUUUUAUCUACAAGAGGAUAUUUACACGUGUGGGACUUUCCUUUUCAUGUCUACUAAGUUGAUGGCACUAAUCAACUAAUCCAUUGUCGAUUUCCCUUAUCAUUGUGUGAAUCUCGACACGCUGGCAUCAUAUGGAUCUGAGUAUCGACUUAGACGUUAAAAAAUGCAAACAUUCUCCCUCCAACGAUUCGGGCUCGCCGGUAGCCGGAGUCGAGAUCCGCAACCAGUGACAAGUCGACGGAAACACCGGAGUCAUGUGCUCCUACCGCCGGACUCCAUAUGGCACAUAUGUAUUCCUCUUUCCCAAUACGCCAUGGAUACCGUAACCUUCCAUAGCCAUCGGACUCAAAGCAUAUAUUGGAGGCAUGCUUUUCGGCAAACAUUAUUUUAAAAAAGAAAAUUUUAUUGACAUAAUCAGUGUCUCAAGGCUAUACAACAUUAUCGGCAUAUAAAGAAUGUUUUUGAGUGGCUCAAUGGCCAACAACAUGAGAAAGAAACCCCCCCUCCUUCGCUUUGUCAACUAGAGCUUGCCAAACAUCCAUCACAAUGAUGUAAAAUCAUUGAGAUAGCGCAUCAUCUUGCAACAGCCAGCGCCCUUGGGCAUCUAGCACUGGUCUAUGAAACAGAAUUAGGCCUAACUCUUUGAUCUAAAGAAAACCUCACAUUGACAAGAGAUAUGGCCAUCUAACAAUAUCGAGCUGUAAAAAAUGAGUGACUACUUUUCCACAGUAAUUCAGAGUGGUGUGUGUGGUUGUCAAUUUCCAAAAUAAGAGCAAAAAAACAGUGGGCGUUGGCGUGAUGCGCAUGUGCUCGAGCCAGGGACGGAGCCAGAAAAUAGUGAUAGGGAGGGCACGAACUAGAAGGAUCAAGAUGAUAGAAUUGUACAUUAACACAUACAGUAGUACAUAUCACAAGAUCUAAAUAGUAUAUAUUUUUUGCGGGGUAAAAUAAAUCACUGUUGUUCUAAGAUAAAAAAUAAAAUUACAUAUGUAUUAAUUUGAAGUCAGGUUUACGAGCAUCAGUUUCGAAGAUAUCAAUUAUUUCUUCAAGCUAACCUUUGCCGCUAGUUCCUUCCCAAUGUUUGUAGUUUUUCCAACGAUACGUUUAUAUGGUUCUAAAAAGCGCAGACUAAUUAAUCUCAUCAAGGCCUGAAUCUAGCAAUCGAAAUAAAGUACCUUUUUCUCAUUUUUAUUGCGGCUCAUCCUCGCGGUCGGCCUACCGGCUACCGGCAAAUAGCCUGUGGAUCGGCGCUCGCCCGCGGCCGUCCCUUCUCCGCUUCUCUUGAUGGCUAUGCGACGGAGUUGCCUAGAGAUCGCAUAGGCGAUAGCAGGCAGUGGCGGGCGGCAGAUGUGAAUCUCAAUCCCAGCAGGCGGCUGGGAAACAAAGCGAUAGCACGAUGUGUGCGUGGGCGCGUGGCUGCGUGCAACUACCCUGCUAAUAGGCCCCUUUGUCACCUAUGAUGGGCUGCCUGUUCUUUUGGGCUUUUGGGUUGAUAGGAAAUUGUACUGCACGUGGGCUGAGAUCCUGAGGCUUUACCAACGACACAGCGAUCAGAGGGGGCGAAGGAAGCGAUGAAUAGUUGGGUAGCAGGAAAAACAGCGAAAAAUUGAUCGCUANNNNNNNNNNNNNNNNNNNNNNNNNNNNNNNNNNNNNNNNNNNNNNNNNNNNNNNNNNNNNNNNNNNNNNNNNNNNNNNNNNNNNNNNNNNNNNNNNNNNNNNNNNNNNNNNNNNNNNNNNNNNNNNNNNNNNNNNNNNNNNNNNNNNNNNNNNNNNNNNNNNNNNNNNNNNNNNNNNNNNNNNNNNNNNNNNNNNNNNNNNNNNNNNNNNNNNNNNNNNNNNNNNNNNNNNNNNNNNNNNNNNNNNNNNNNNNNNNNNNCGAGCAACUAAUCUUUGAAACUUCGAGAGCAACAAUAAUUGAGAAAGUGACAUGAUUCACAAAUAAGAAGAACAAAAAGUGGCAUUGGUGAAGAAUCUCGUCUGAAGAGGUAACCUUCGGACCUGAUUUCAUUCCAUACGACCAGCCACGGUGGUAUGUUUUACGUUGUCUUUUGUUCUACCCCUCUUCGGUAAAUCAGCCGCCAUUCCUUCAUACGAGCUCGGAAUUUGACGUUUUUGUGCCCGUUGGAUUCGUAUAAACGACACCGAUCCAUCUAUGGUAUUAGAUCUUAGUUUUGAAUAAUUUGAAAAAAUGACUAUUUUCACUCUCCGAAACAGUGAAGUGUGGUACCGUGAGUCGUACGUAUUGAGCCCGUCCUUGGUCCUUUCAUCGUGCAUGGUCCUAGGUUCCUACAAAACACCUGUAUACACAAGAAAAUAAAGAAAACUAAUAAAAACCAAAUAAAUUACUAAAUGUGCAAUGCUCACAAGGAGAAGUGUAAAUACCGAUGAUCAUGUAUAAUGGACAAAUAUUUGGUUCAAUGGGACAAGAUAUGAAAAGAACAUGCAAAAAAUGAGCUCUAAAAAUGUGUAAAAUAUAAAGCCAUCACAUGUAGCUGAAAAAAGGUUUGCUUAGUCACUUCUCAUCUGGAGCAUCAGAUGUUCAUCUAGCAGUGCAAAACAGAUCGUGUCCUGUUCAUCUUCUUCCUCCCUUCUCUUUCUCCCGCAGUGACGAUUCGACCUCCUCCCCCAUGACCUAUGAGGGAGUCCUGGACUAAGGGGUCCUCGGGCGUCCGGCCUGCUAGCCAUGGGCCGGACUGAUGGGUUGUGAAGAUACGAAGACCGAAGACUGCACCCGUGUCCGGAUGGGACUCUCCUUGGCGUGGAAGACAGGCUUGGCGAUCAAAUAUGUAGAUUCCUUUCUUUGUAACCGACCUUGUGUAACCCUAGAUCCCCCAGGUGUCUAUAUAAACCGGAGGACUUAGUCCGAAGGGGUUAUACAUGAUCACAACCAUACGAGCUAGGCCUUUAGGGUUUAGCCAUUACGAUCUCGUGGUAGAUCAACUCUUGUAAUACUCAUAUUCAUCAAGAUCAAUCGAGCAAGACGUAGGAUAUUACCUCCAUAGAGAGGGCCCGAACCUGGGUAAAAUAUUGUGUCUCCUGUCUCCUGUUACCAUCGACCUUAGAAGCACAGUUCGGGACCCCCUACCCGAGAUCUGCCGGUUUUGACACCGACAACCUACCUAGGCCUAACUACCCAGCUCCACCCCUCGCGGCUGGUAGCUGACGCUGCCGAGGGAGUCCUGGACUAAGGGGUCCUCGGGCGUCCGGCCUGUUAUCUAUGGGUCGGACUGAUGGGCUGUGAAGAUAUGAAGACCGAAGACGGUGCCCGUGUCCGGAUGAGACUCUUCUUGGCGUGGAAGGCAAGCUUAGCGAACAACUAUGAAGAUUCCAUCUUAUGUAACCAACUCUAUGUAACCCUAGAUCCCCCUCGGUGUCUAUAUAACCGGAGGGUGUAGUCCGGAAAAGAUAUACUCAAUACCGUAGUCAUACAAGCUAGACUUCUAGGGUUUAGCCAUUACGAUCUCGUGGUAGAUCAACUAUUGUAAUACUCAUAUUCAUCAAGAUCAAUCAAGCAGGAAGUAGGGUAUUACCUCCAUAGAGAGGGCCUGAACCUGGGUAAACAUCGUGUCCCCUGUCUCCUGUUACCAUCAACCUCAGAUGCACAGUUUGGGACCCCCUACCCGAGAUUCGCCGGUUUUGACACUGACAUUGGUGCUUUCAUUGAGAGUUCCUCUGUGCUGUCGCUGAAAGGUUUGAUGGCCCCUUCAAUCGUCAAUAAUGACGCUGUCUACGGAGAAACUUUCCUCCCCGGACAGAUCUUCGUGUUCGGCGGUUCGCACUGCGGGCCAACUCGUUUGGCCAUCUGGAGCAGAUCGAAAGCUAUGCCCCUGGCCAUCAGGUCAGGUUCGGGAGCUUGAACUACGUCCCGGACAUCCGUGGAGAUUUCAUCUUCGCCGGAUUCGAUACCACAGUAGCCGCUCCCGAUCACCCUGAUCAUCAUGACCUAAAACUGUCAUUGGGCCGCAUCCAGGAGAUCGCUCCUGUAACCACACUGGCCCUAGAGCCGGAGCAGGCCGUGCCAUCCAAAGACGGGAGGAUUAACCCCACCACGAAGGCCGCAGAUUCCACGGCGUUGGAGCCGCACAUGGACUCGGUCCCACACGAUGCCCAUGCCACCGGAACGCCGGACUCGUCUCUGGCCAUAGGUUCCGAACCAUGCGACCCCGCGGACGCCGAACUUGAUAGUUUAUCGAUUUUUGAAUUCAGCAUCGCAGACAUCUUCCAGCACUCGCCUCUGGGCGAUGUGCUAAACUCGUUAAAAAGCAUGUCCUUCGCGGAGGACUCUCGGCCGAACUAUAUCCGGCUCGAACUAGGGGCUGACGAUGGAGAAUUUCGCUUCCCACCCACCACCCACUUUAUAGCCACGAAAGAGGAGUUGACCGACGGACUUGAUUACGACUCCGAGGACAGUGACGAUGAUGCCUGAGAAGAACAGGCCCAGAACCCGCCGUUCACCGGACGCUGGACGGCUACUUCCUCGUAUGACGUAUACAUGGUGGAUGCACCAAAGGAAAACUGCGGCGACAACAAGGAAGACCCAGUUGAGGAUAAACCUUCCGAAAUAUAGUCCAAGCACCAGCGUCAGCGGCGCCGCUCUAAGUCACGCCCCAGUAAAGAUAGCAACAGCGGCACAGGAGAAGAUGACACUCCGGAAGUUGCCGAAGACAACGAAGACCCCGUCGACACAACAAAUGAACAAGAUAAACGGGAAGAUGGGCAGGUUAGCCCUGUUAAACAGGCCACGCACAAAGAUUCCGAGGACGAUGGUUACCUUCGGCUCUCCGAGGAUGAGGUGAGCCUCGGCACCGAAGAUUUCAUCGUGCCCGAGGAACCUCUUGAGCAGGAGCGCUUUAAGCGCCAGCUAAUAGCCACUGCAAGGAGUCUGAAAAAGAAACAGCAGCAGCUUCAAGCUGACCAAGAUCUGCUGAUAAAUGGACUGAUGUCCUAGCAGCCGAAGAAUACGGCCUCAAGCGCCCAACCAAAAGCUACCCAAAGCGUAAAUUGCUCCCUCAGUUCGACGAGGAGGCGCCGGAGUAUAUACCACCAUCGUACAAUGCGGUUGACCGACCACCGCGUGGCCGGGAGAAAACGGCAACUCAUGCCGAACACCAACCCACCCCGCCUCGUCACUCAGGUAAAGAUAAAUUCGCCCACAACCAUACAUAUGACCUCCGGCAAAACCUGAACAAUAAAGCAGGACCUACCAGAUCAAUCUACGGAUCGCGAGGACGCACCUCGACAUGUGACAACGGCCACCUAUUCGGACGUGACAAACGCAGUCAUGCGCAGGCCAAACACCGCAGACGGACUCCAUCAGAGCUGCGUCAUGAUACAGCCCGAUACAGAGGCCCCGCACACCCUCAUUGUUUCAUUGAUGAGGUCCUGGAUCACAAAUUCCCCAAAGGAUUCAAGCCCGUGAAUGUAGAAUCAUACGAUGGAACCACGAACCCCGCGGUGUGGAUCGAGGACUUCAUUCUCCACAUCCAUAUGGCCCGCGGAGAUGACCUCCACGCCAUAAAAUACCUCCCUCUAAAACUCAAAGGGCCAGCUCGGCAUUGGCUAAACAGUCUGCCUGAAAAUUCCAUUGGCAGAUGGGAGGACUUGGAAGAGGCUUUCCUCGAUAACUUCCAAGGUACAUAUGUUCGACCUCCGGACGUUGAUGACUUGAGACAUAUAGUUCAACAUCCCGGAGAGUCCGCCGGGAAAUUCUGGACAAGGUUCUUAACUAAAAAGAACCAAAUUGUCGACUGUCCAGAUGCCGAAGCUCUUGCAGCUUUCAAGCAUAGCAUCCGCGACGAAUGGCUUGCUCGCCACCUCGGCCAAGAAAAGCCAAAAUCCAUGGCGGCCCUCAGGGCACUAAUGACCCGCUUUUGUGUGGGCCAGGACAGUUGGUUGGCUCGUAGUAAAAACAAUGCAAGCGACGCCGGCACCCAUGAGGUUAAAAAUAACAAAGACAAGUCUCGACGCAAUAGAUACAAGCGCCGAAACGGCGAUGACAACACCGAGGAUACGGCGGUCAACGCCGGAUUCAGUGACUCUAAGUCCGGUCAGUGGAAGAAGCCGUCCCAAAAGAACAAUUCGGACCCAUCCAGCUUGGACCGCAUACUUGAUCGUCCAUGCCAGAUUCACGGCACCCUCGACAAGCCUCCUAAUCAUAAAAAUAGAGAGUGCUGGGUUUUCAAACAGGCCGGCAAAUUAAACACCGAGAACAUGGAAAAAGGAUCGCAAAGCGAGGCCGACGACGAAGAGCCACGGCAGCCGAACACAGGGGGGCAGAAAAAGUUUCCCCCUCAGGUCAAAACGGUGAACAUGAUAUAUGCCACCCACAUCCCCAAGAGGGGGUGCAAGCGGGCGCUUAGGGACGUCUACGCGAUAGAGCCGGUCGCCCUAAAAUUCAAUCCAUGGUCGUCGUGCCCGAUCACUUUCGAUCGCCGGGAUCACCCGACCAGUAUACAUCAUGGGGGCUCAGCCGCACUAGUCUUAGACCCAAUAAUUGAUGGGUUUCACCUGACUCGCAUCCUUAUGGACGGUGGUAGCAGCCUCAAUCUGCUCUAUCAGGAUACAACGCGGAACAUGGGCAUUAACCCAUCAAGGAUCAAGCCUACAAGGACUACCUUUAAAGGAGUCAUACUAGGUAUAGAGGACCGCUUUACGGGCUCAAUCACAUUAGAGGUUGUCUUCGGAUCUCCGGACAACUUCUGAAGCGAGGAGUUAAUCUUCGAUAUCAUCCCAUUUCGCAGCGGCUAUCAUGCACUGCUCGGACGAACUGCGUUUGCUCGAUUCAACGCAGUGCCACACUAUGUUUAUCUCAAGCUCAAGAUGCCCGGUCCAUGCGGCGUCAUAACAGUCAAUGGCAAUACGGAACGCGAUCUCCGUACAGAAGAGCACACAGCUGCCCUAGCAACAGAAGUACAAAGAGGCCUUCUCAAGCAGAAUCUUCAUUCGGUUGUCGAGCCCGCAGACACCCUUAAGAGGGUCUGAACUACUCUGCAGCAGGAGAGCUCGGCUCGUCAGGAGCUCGACUAGCAAUCCGGCCUCCGUCUAAGUCCCGAUCAAGUGGUGGCAUUCAUGUCGCGCGUACAUAACUACGCACUUAAAAUUCCAUGGGCAUUGACGGAGGCACAGAUAGCUUAUGAUUCAUGGCACGGCUCAACCGGCAUUGGAUACACACAUACUUUCACUUUUACUUGUUUUCCUUUCAGGUCUCAAUCCCACAGGCCCCAUCGGGGGGUCUGGUCAUCGGUCCUCUUGUAGGAUAAAUACACCAAGACAGGGAGAAGCGCAGACAUAUGGGGAACUUUUUAGGUGAUUCCGUUAACGAUAACUCUACCUGUUUUGCAGGACCCACAUGCAGCUCUCCCCUGGUUUCAGCAUGUUAAAUAGCAUGUUGCUUAUUACACUAUUUGUAUCAAUGCGCUUUGACGUACUAAUUACAUUACAAUGAAAACAGUUUGUAGCUGGAGCUGUAGGACCCCAGCUUUUUAGCUUUACGUCUUCUCUGUUUUCUUUCUCUCUUUUCUUUUUCAGAUUCCCUAUGGAUAACCCCAUCAGGUAGCACCCGUACACUUUGGUACGUUUGAUGUUUGCCAGGGGCUCUAUAACACCCCACACUACGACAACAAACGUCCGAAAACUUUCUAUAAGUAUAGUUCGGCACCCCGAAUUUAGCAUUAUAUGCAUUGGCUCUGAAUCAUGUCUUUGGUCAAUAGUUGGGUUGCCUGGCUCCUGUGCUUGCUACCCUAUGUUCUGCUACAUCGGCUAGGGUAGUAAAGGGAGAACUACUGCGAUUGUGGCCUAGUCUUAACCGGAUGAGCACCUCAGUAGAGAAAGCCGAAAACUGACUGUCAUGAUGCGGCGAGAGCUAGUCAGCUGUUCGGAGGUCUCAAAUCGUUGGAGAUUUUUCCGCAUUUCGCGAAGGAUUGGUACUUCCCGAUCAGACACUGACAGCACUCUGGUUCGUAUACCAGGGGAUGUGCAUAUGUCUUAUUAUAAAACUCUUCUGGCUAAGUGAGGGUGUUCAAACCGCAUAGUCUGGUUGCCUGGUUCGUUGCGCUAAACAACUCCUUCAAGGACCAUAUAAUAGGAUCAAGAUUGUUUAGAUUCCACCCCGAACACCUCUGUACUACCUACGCGAGGGCAGAAGCCGAUGACUGGUUAACCCUCAGAUUUCAUACAACACGGCCACACAGGAGGACACAAUCAAAACAUAAAUUAUAUCACAAAGCGGAUUUGUUGUCAUCAUACAAGACAAAACACGAGUGUAUUCACUCAAAAAUAACGUCCUGCCCGCACUACGUGGCUACAAUACGAGACCCCUCUAGGACAUCCACAAAAUAGCGCUCGGGUGUACGGUGCUCCUUGCCCUUCGGCGACCCCUUCAUCAGCUCGACGGCGUCCAUUUUCGCCCACCACAUCUUGCAGCGAGCAAAGGCCAUCCGGGCACCUUCAAUACAGACCGACCACUUUACGAACUCAGGUUGCGGGCAGACACUAACAGGCCGCUUCACAAGCCCGAAGUAGCUGCUGGGUACCGGCGCGGCAGGCCAUAGCUAGACUAUCAGGUCCCUCAUGGCCAGCUCGGCCGCCUUGUGCAGCUCGACCAACUAUUUCAGUUGGUCGCUGAAGGAUACCGGAUGUUCUGGUCCAAGAUAUUGAGACCAGAACAGCUUCUCCGUUGAACUCCCUUCCUCGGGUCGAUAGAAUCCAGCAGCAUCGGAUACGCUGCGCGGCAAAUCUAUAAGUGCCCCUGUGGAGAACCAAAUUCGGGUAAGUAAAAGGUGCGUUCCCUUCAUAGACUUGCUUUGCAUAACGAAAGCCUUACCCGCCGCAAUCUUCUUAGCCGCCUGGAGUUCCUGAAGGGCUCUCUGGGCUUCGGCUUGAGCCUCUUGUGCGCUCUGGCGAGCCUUCGCAAGUUCGGACGCAUGUGUCUUAGAAUUACGCUCCAAGGACUCGUACUUCUUAACGGCAUCUUGAAGCUCUUGCUGAACCUCGCUGACUCGGGCCUCGUGCUUUUCGCGUGCAGUGCGUUCCUUGGUCGCUUGGUCCUCGGCCUCGGCUAAUGCCUUCUUGAGGGCCGCCACCUCGGUCGUGGCCCCUAGUAUAGUCCAUGACACUUUAGUCAGAACGAAGUAUUCAUCCUUCCUAACAUACACGCACUGGUUACUGCAUACCUUGGUUGUCCUCCAGCUGCUUCUUCACAAGGUUGAGCUCUUCCUCGGCACACUCCAGGCUCCGCUUCAGUUCGGAGACCUCCGCAGUAUGAGCGGCAGCAGCCAGCAGCGGCGCCUGCUUAUUUACAUAGACAUCAUAUGUUAGACUCCUGCGAAAAUUGUUUUGAUCCCCUGUUCGGCUUUUCUUCCUGAACACCGAACAGGGCAUCAGGGGCUACUGUCUACGCUGUGACAUUCUUUCUACAAUUAUUAUUACCUCAAAGCCUGUUAAAACGCUAGUGCAGGCUUCGGUCAGUCCGCUUUUGGCAGACUGGACCUUUUUUAUCACCAUACCCAUGAGGACACGGUGUUCAUCUACAAUGGAAGCACCUCGCAGUGCUUCCAGCAAAUCAUCCGGUGCCUCUGGUUGGACAGAGGUCACCAGUGGAACAGGCACACCCCCUCCUUUCGGGGAAGGCCGUUCGCUAGACUCCGGAGCUGUACAGGUCUCCAGAAUGAUAUUCGGCUGAGGGUCGAAUGGAACUCGGCCCCCACCAUCAGUCUCCAUGGGGGCUUCUUCCCUCAUGUGUCCGGCGACCGUGGAGCCACCCUUGGACGCCAUCCUGACGAUCUCCGGAGCCCCCCCUUUGUCGGGGAAGGCCCUUUGGGACACCACCUCGUCAUCAUCCUUGGGCAAGGCAGAGUGAACAGGUGGCGGCGACAUGCUAGCCAUCUCCUUUGAGUCUAGCGAGCCCUCUGUCGAGGAUUGCGGAGAACUAUCACAGGCCGGACUGCAAUAGCAUAAAUUAAACAUAUUAAUAUUGCAAAGGGGAAGGGCCAAACAUUUGGACGAGCAUAAGGUCUUUGGUACUUACGAAGCUGCCCGAGGCUUAGUCCGGGGCAUUCGUUCCGGACUGCUAUCGACAUCCCAUGCAGAGUUAUCCAUGAGGAAGCCCUUCCCCCUCUUGGUUGCCUUCGCCUCCGAGUUCGUGGAGGCCACCCUUUUCUUCCUUCCCCCCUAAGGGGGGAAUUGUCUUCUUCCUCCUCCUUGUCGCCGUAUUCAGCGACCGAAGGGUCGGUCUCGUCUCCGGACGACAGUUCCGAAGUAUCCUUUCGACGAAGGCCACUCCUGGUCCCCUUGGCUGCCUUUUUGAUCUUCUUCUCUGGCACGUCAUAAGGCGUCGGGAACAACAUCUUCGUCAGGAGUGGGGUCUCUUCAUCUUUGGGUAGCGGGGCUGGACAGUUAAUCCGCCUCGCUAUGUCGUUCCAGGCCUAAGGAAAAAAUUGAUAGGAGAGCUUAGACCUCUUUCUUACAACAUGCUAGUAAAGGUUAUGCCUUGAGAGCGUGAAAGAACUUACCGAAUUAGCUUGGCGCUUUGAGCUAAGCCCACGAUCCUCGGUUGCAGGCGGUGGCAUCUCGCCGGCCUUGAAGAGCACUUUUCAGAUAUCCUCGUGUGUUGUGACGAAGAGCUCUAGCAGCGUCUGGUGCUUGGCCAGAUAGAAUUCCCAUAAAUAGCAAGUCCGGUGUUGGCACGGGAGGAUCCGACGGAUGAGCAUAACCUGGAUCACAUUGACAAGCUUAAUCUAUUUGGAUAUCAUGUUCUGGACACAUGUUUGGAGCCCUAUCAGCUCGCCCGGAGAACCCUAGGUUAGGCCCUUCUCUUGCCAGGAUGUGAGCUGCAUCGGAACUCCGGAUCGGAAUUUGGGGGCCGUCGUCCAGUUGGUGUCACGCGGCUCGGUGAUGUAGAACCACCCUGAUUGCCACCCCUUAACCAUCUCCACGAAAGAACCUUCGAGCCAGGUGUCGCGUGGCUCGGCGAUGCCACCGGAGCGCCGGACUCGUCUCCGACCAUAGGUUCCGAACCAUGCGAGCCCGCGUACGCCGAACUUGAUAGUUUAUUGAUUUUUGAAUUUAGCGCCACAGACAUCUUCCAGCACUCGCCUCUGGGCGAUGUGCUAAACUCGUUAAAAAGCAUGUCCUUGGAGGAGGACUCUCAGCCGAACUAUAUCCGGCUCGAACUAGGGGUUGACGAUGGAGAAUUUUGCCUCCCACCCACCACCCACUUUAUAGCCACGGUCGAGGAGUUGACCGACGGACUUGAUUACGACUCUGAGGACAGUGACGACGAUGCCAGAGAAGAAGAGGCCCAGAACCCGCCGUUCACCGGACGCUGGACGGCUACUUCCUUGUAUGACGUAUACAUGGUGGAUGCACCAAAGGAAAACUGCAGCGACAACAAGGAAGACCCAGCUGAGGAUAAACCUUCCGAAAUACAGUCCAAGCGACGGCGUCAGCGGCGCCGCUCUAAGUCACACCGCAGUAAAGAUAGCAACACCGGCACAGGAGAAGAUGACACUCCGGAAGGUGCCGAAGACAACGAAGACCCCGUCGACACAACAAACGAACAAGAUAAACGGGAAGAUGGGCAGGUUAGCCCUGUUAAACAGGCCACGCACAAAGAUCCCAAGGACGAUAGUUACCUUCGGCUCUCCGAGGAUGAGGUGAGCCUCGGCACCAAAGAUUUCAUCGUGCCCGAGGAACCUCUUGAGCAGGAGCGCUUUAAGCGCCAGCUAAUAGCCACUGCAAGGAGUUUGAAAAAGAAACAGCAGCAGCUUCAAGCUGACCAAGAUCUGUUGAUAAAUGGACUGAUGUCCUAGCAGCCGAAGAAUACGGCUUCAAGCGCCCAACCAAAAGCUACCCAAAGCAUAAAUUGCUCCCUCAGUUCGACGAGGAGGCGCUGGAGUAUAUACCACCAUAGUACAAUGCGGCUGACCGACCACCGCGUGGCUGGGAGAAAACGGCAACUCAUGCCGAACACCAGCCCGCCCCGCCUUGUCACUCAGGCAAAGAUAAAUUCGCCCACAACCAUACAUAUGACCUCUGGCAAAGCCUGAAAAAUAAAGCAGGACCUACCAGAUCAAUCUACGGAUCGCGAGGAUGCACCUCGACAUGUGACAAUGGCCACCUAUUCGGACGUGACAAACCCAGUCAUGCGCAGGCCAAACACCGCAGAUAGACUCCAUCAGAGUUGCGUCACGAUACGGCCCGAUACAGAGGCCCCGCACACCCUCAUUGUUUCACUGAUGAGGUCCUGGAUCACGAAUUCACCGAAGGAUUCAAGCCCGUGAAUGUAGAAUCAUACGAUGGAACCACGAACCCCGCGGUGUGGAUCGAGGACUUUAUUCUCCACAUCCAUAUGGCCCGCGGAGAUGACCUCCACGCCAUAAAAUACCUCCCUCUAAAACUCAAAGGGCCGACUCGGCAUUGGCUAAACAGUCUGCCUGAAAAUUCCAUUGGCAGCUGGGAGGACUUGGAAAAGGCUUUCCUCGAUAACUUCCAAGGUACAUAUGUUCGACCUCCGGACGCUGAUGACUUGAGCCAUAUAGUUCAACAGCCCGGAGAGUCCGCCGGGAAAUUCUGGACAAGGUUCUUAACUAAAAAGAAACAAAUUGUCAACUGUCCGGACGCCGAAGCUCUUGCAGCUUUCAAGCAUAGCAUCCGCGACGAAUGGCUCGCUCGCCACCUCGGCCAAGAAAAGCCAAAAUCCAUGGCGGCCCUCACGGCACUAAUGACCCGCUUUUGUGUGGGCGAGGACAGUUGGUUGGCUCGUAGUAAAAACAAUGCAAGCGACGCCGGCACCCAUGAGGUUAAAAAUAAUAAAGACAAGUCUCGACGCAAUAGAUAGAAGCGCCGAAACGGCGAUGACAACACCGAGGAUACGGCGGUCAAUGCCGGAUUCGGUGACUCUAAGUCCGGUCAGUGGAAGAAGCUGUCCCAAAAGAACAAUUCGGACCCAUCCAGCUUGAACCGCAUACUUGAUUGUCCAUGCCAGAUUCACGGCACCCUCGACAAGCCUCCUAAUCAUAAAUAUAGAGAGUGCUGGGUUUUCAAACAGGCCGGCAAAUUAAACGCCGAGAACAGGGAAAAAGGAUCGCAAAGCGAGGACGACGACGAAGAGCCACGGCAGCCGAGCACAGGGGGGCAGAAAAAGUUUCCCCCUCAGGUCAAAAUGGUGAACAUGAUAUAUGCCACCCACAUCCCCAAGAGGGGGCGCAAGCGUGCGCUUAGGGACGUCUACGCGAUAGAGCCAGUCGCCCCAAAAUUCAAUCCAUGUCGUCGUGCCCGAUCACUUUCGAUCGCCGGGAUCACCCGACCAGUAUACGUCACGGGGGCUCAGCCGCACUGGUCUUAGAUCCAAUAAUUGAUGGGUUUCACCUGACUCGCAUCCUUAUGGGCAUAGGUAGCAGCCUCAAUCUGCUCUAUCACGAUACAACGCAGAAAAUGGGCAUUAACCCAUCAAGGAUCAAGCCUACAAGGACUACCUUUAAAGGAGUCAUACCAGGUAUAGAGGACCGGUGUACGGGCUCAAUCACAUUAGAGGUUGUCUUUGGAUCUCCGGACAACUUCCGAAGCGAGGAGUUAAUCUUCGAUAUCUUCCCAUUUCGCAGCGGCUAUCAUGCACUAUUCGGACGAACUACGUUUGCUCGAUUCAACGCAGUGGCACACUAUGUUUAUCUCAAGCUCAACAUGCCCAGUCCAUGCGGCGUCAUAACAGUCAAUGGCAAUACGGAACGCUCUCUCCGUAAAGAAGAGCACACAGCUGCCCUAGCAAUAGAAGUACAAAGAGGCCUUCUCAAGCAGAAUCUUCAUUCGGCCGCCGAGCCCGUGGACACCCUUAAGAGGGUCUGAACUACUCUGCAGCAGGAGAGCUCGGCUCGUCAGGAGCUCGACUAGCAAUCCGGCCUCCGUCUAAGUCCCGAUCAAGUGGUGGCGUUCGUGUCGCGCGUACAAAACUACGCACUUAAAAUUCCAUGGGCAUUGACGGAGGCACAGAUAGCUUGUGAUUCAUUGCACGGCUCAACCGGCAUUGGAUACACACAUACUUUCACUUUUACUUGUUUUCCUUUCAGGUCUCAAUCCCACAGGCCCCAUCGGGGGGUCUGGUCAUCGGUCCUCUUGUAGGAUAAAUACACCAAGACGGCGAGAAGCGCGGACAUAUGGGGAACUUUUUAGGUGAUUCUGUUAACGAUAACUCUACCUGUUUUUCAGGACCCACAUGCAGCUCUACCCUGGUUUCAGCAUGUUAAAUAGCAUGUUGCUUAUUACACUAUUUGUAUCAAUGCGCUUUGACGUACUAAUUACAUUACAAUGAAAAUAGUUUGUAGCUGGAGCUGUAGGACCCCAGCUUUUUAGCUUUACGUCUUCUCUGUUUUCUUUCUCUCUUUUCUUUUUCAGGUUCCCUGUGGAUAACCCCAUCAGGUAGCACCCGUACACUUUGGUACGUUUGAUGUUUGCCAGGGGCUCUAUAACACCCCACACUACAACAACAAAUGUCCGAACACUUUCUAUAAGUAUAGUUCGGCACCCCGAAUUUAGCAUUAUAUGCAUUGGCUCUGAAUCAUGUCUUUGGUCAAUAGUUGGGUUGCCUGGCUCCUGUGCUUGCUACCCUAUGUUCUGCUACAUCGGCUAGGGUAGUAAAGGGAGAACUACUGCGAUUGUGUCCUAGUCUUAACCGGAUGAGCACCUCAGUAGAGAAAGACGAAAACUGACUGUCAUGAUGCGGCGAGAGCUAGUCAGCUGUUCGGAGGUCUCAAAUCGUUGGAGAUUUUUCCGCAUUUCGCGAAGGAUCGGUACUUCCCGAUCAGACACUGGCAGCACUCUGGUUCGUAUACUAGGGGAUGUGCAUAUGUUUUAUUAUAAAACUCCUAUGGCUAAGUGAGGGCGUUCAAACCGCAUAGUCUGGUUGCCUGGUUCGUUGCGCUAAACAACUCCUUCAAGGACCAUAUAAUAGGAUCAAUAUUGUUUAGAUUCCAUCCCGAACACCUCUGUACUACCUACGCGAGGGCAGAAGCCGACGACUGGUUAACCCUCAGAUUUCAUACAACACGGCCACACAGGAGGACACAAUCAAAACAUAAAUUAUAUCACAAAGCGGAUUUGUUGUCAUCAUACAAGAUAAAAUACGAGUGUAUUCACUCAAAAAUAACGUCAUGCCCGCACUACGUGGCUACAAUACGAGACCCCUCUAGGACAUCCACAAAAUAGGGCUCGGGUGUACGAUGCUCCUUGCCCUUCGGCGACCCCUUCAUCAGCUCGACGGCGUCCAUUUUCGCCCACCACAUCUUGCAGCGAGCAAAGGCCAUCCGGGCACCUUCAAUACAGACCGAUCGCUUUAUGAACUCAGGUUGCGGACAGACACUAAUAGGUCGCUUCACAAGCCCGAAGUAGCUGCUGGGUACCAGCGCGGAAGGCCAUAGCCGGACUAUCAGGUCCCUCAUGGCCAGCUCGGCCACCUUGUGCAGCUCGACCAACUGUCUUAGUUGGUCGCUGAAGGAUACCGGAUGUUCUGGUCUAAGAUAUUGAGACCGGAACCGCUUCUCCGUCAAACUCCCUUCCUCGGGUCGAUAGAAUCCAGCAGCAUCGGAUACGCUGCGCGGCAAAUCUAUAAGCGCCCUUGUGGAGCACCAAAUUCGGGUAAGUAAAAGGCGCGUUCCCUUAAUAGACUUGCUUUGCAUAACGAAAGCCUUACCCACCGCAAUCUUCUUAGCCGCCUGGAGUUCCUGAAGGGCUCUCUGGGCUUCGGCUUGAGCCUCUUGUGCGCUCUGGCGAGCCUUCGCAAGUUCGGACGCCUGUGUCUUAGAAUUACGCUCCAAGGACUCGUACUUCUUAACGGCAUCCUGAAGCUCUUGCUGAACCUCGCUGACCCGGGCCUCGUGCUUUUCGUGUGCAGCGCGUUCCUUGGACGCUUGGUCCUCGGCCUCGGCUAAUGCCUUCUUGAGGGCCGCCACCUCGGUCGUGGCCCCUAGUAUAGUCCAUGACACUUUAGUCAGCACGAAGUAUUCAUCCUUCCUAACAUACACGCACCGGUUACUGCAUACCUUGGUUGUCCUCCAGCUGCUUCUUCACAAGUUUGAGCUCUUCCUCGGCACACUCCAGGCUCCGCUUCAGUUCGGAGACCUCCGCAGUAUGAGCGGCAGCAGCCAGCAGCGGCUCCUGCUUAUUUACAUAGACAUCAUAUAUUAGACUCCUGUGAAAAUCGUUUUGAUCCCCUGUUCGGCUUUUCUUCCUGAACACCGAACAGGGCAUCAGGGGCUACUGUCUACGCUGUGACAUUCUUUCUACAAUUAUUAUUACCUCAAAGCCUGUUAAAAGGCUAGUGCAGGCUUCGGUCAGUCCGCUUUUCGCAGACUGAACCUUUUUUAUCACCAUACCCAUGAGGACACGGUGUUCAUCUACAAUGGAAGCACCUCGCAGUGCUUCCAGCAAAUCAUCCGGUGCCUCUGGUUAGACAGGGGUCACCAGUGGAACAGGCACACCCCCUCCUUCCGGGGAAGGUCGUUCGCUAGACUCCGGAGCCAUACAGAUCUCCGGAAUGAUAUUCGGCUGAGGGCCGAAUCAUCAGUCUUCAUGGGGGAUUCUUCCCCCAUGUGUCCGGCGGCCGUGGAGCCACCUGUCACAGCCCUAGAAAUCUUCUUGUAAUUAGUUGCAUUGCAUCCAUGCAUCAAUUUCAAUUUCUUUCAAUUUUGAAAUGGGGGCUGAUAAACCCUAGCAGCAAAUGAAACUCAACUAGGGUCCAAAUAAAAAUCAUUUCACUGAACCCAAAAUGCCCCUCUAAAAUGUUCAUCAUCUUUGGAUUGAUCUUGAACCUCUGCCAAAAAUAUUGCACAUUUUUCUAGGUCAAUUGGGGGUCACUGAAUUAAAUCAUACAGUAUUUCCAUUUGAGCAUUUAAAUCCUAUAAAAUAUUUUAAAUGCCCAAAUAAUCACAAACUGAAAUGUUUAUUGUUGGAAAUAUUCCAAACAGUGGCCACAGUUAGUUGCAUGAUUUUUGGAAAUGCUCUGGCAUUUUAAAUAAAUCCAAACACAAUUACAUAAAAAUACAAAACAGAAAUAAGAAAAGAGAGAGAGAAGGACUAACCUGGCGUUUACCUGAGGCCCACUUACCUGGUGGCCCAGCAGACUCGGCCAGCCCACCAGUGCGCCCGAGGCCUCCACCUCCUCCCUCCCAGCCUGCCUGGCUCCUCCUCGAUGCACCGGGCGACACCACGCAGCCCUGGCCCCUCUCACCCUCUCCCGUGCCCCUCCCCUCCUCUGCUCUCUCUCCCUCUCGCGCCUGAGCGCAACCGCCGACGACGCUCGCCAUAGUCGUGCCCACCGAGCUCCCCACGCCUCACCGACGUGCCCACGAGCUCCGCCUCGUCCCUCUCUUCCUCCUCACCGAGCCGCCCGAUGCCGGAAGCCCCUGGAAGCCGCAAGCCCCGCCGUUGCCCUCGUCGGCCAACGAAGAUCGUCGCCGUCGAUUUGCUGCCUUCGGUGCCCCCCCGGGCUCGCUGACCCUUCCAUUCGACUCACUGUGAGCUCCUCUGCCGCUCCCCUCUCUCCUCGUGCUCUGUUGCACCGUGAACCCGCCGUUUCCACCUGACCCGAGAGCCGGCCGCCGCCGUUCUAGUCGCCGCCGUAACAAGAGCUAGCAAAGCUCGUUCCCGAACACGGCUACGUGCUCAGCAGCUGCGCAGCAAGCGAACGCCGCCACCAGCUCAUCUUCUCGUGCACCAUAGUGCUGUGCCGCUCGAGCCGAGCUCCGGCAACCGCCGCGGGCUCCACUCCGGCGAGCUCCGGCCUCCCCACGACCCAGCACCUGCACCGUUCGAUGCGCGGGAGCAAGAGCUUCCCAACGCACCCAGACACGCUUCGAAUGAGGCCCCGUAGCGCUUUUCCGAGCUGCACCGCCGUCUGGGCCCUCGUCGGCAGCUAAACGCCGGCGAGUUGACCGCUUUGACCGGCAGGGUUGACCCCGCUGGCCCGGGUAGACCCCGGGUUGACCUCCCCUGGGUCCUGACAUGUGGGCCCAGGCCCUGUUUAAUUACUAUUAGUUUAAUUAGUGUUAAAUAACUUAGUUAACCCACUGACUCGCUAACAUGUGGGCCCAGCCCUGCUGACAUUUUAGUUAGUGUUAGCUUAAGGCUAAUUAACUCAGUCAAUUCGCUGGGUCACUGACCAGUGGGUCCCACUGAUCAGGUUUGACCUGGUGACGUCACCCCGACAUCAUGCUGACGCAGUAAUAGGCUUUUCUGGAUUUAUUCUUAUUCAGGAAAUUUCAGAAAAUACCCAAAACUUGUAAAAUUCAUAGAAAUUCAACCGCAACUCCAAAUGAAAUAAUUUAUAUAUGAAAAAUUAUCAGAAAAAUUCAAGGAAUCUGAAUAUGGCAUUUUCAUGCAUGUUUGAACAACCUAACCUCACUGUUUAGACCAAAACAUGAUAAUGCACUAUUUGAAUCCAUAGUUUGAAUUUGAAUUUGAACCUAGUGUUCAAACCAACUCUAUUUAACUUGUUGUUAGUUGCAUUAGCUCAAUCAUAACAUUUUUGCCAUGUCACAUUCAUGCAUCAUAUUGUUGCAUUGCAUUAAUUGUGUUUCCUCUCUGUUGUCGGUGUUUGUCCCCUCUCAGUAGAUGACGUUCUGAUAAAUUGAUCGAUGACACCGAUGAAGAACUAUACUAUCUUCAGAAGUGACAGGCAAGCACAACCCCCUUGUUCAUUCCGAUACAAGCCCACUCUCUCGCUCCUGCUUUCUUUUACUGCAUUAGGACAACAAUGAUUCAACUAUACAUGCUGCGGUAGUUGAACCCCUUCCUUUGCAUGACCUGUCAUUGUCACAGUAAAUAGAUGAAACCCACUAGCAUGAGUAGGAGUUGUUUGAGCCCUGAUGUGCCUACUCAUUCAUGCUUGUUUGUCUUGCCAGCUACUGCUUAGAGUUGAGUCAGGUCUGGUUCAUUGGGGAUGAAUCGGAGGUGUGUAAACAUGUCCUACUGUUGAGAGCUAAGUGUGUGAACAUGAUUUGGUAAAGGUAGCGGUGAGAGGCCAUGUAGGAGUACAUGGUGGGUUGUCUCAUGGAAGCCAUCCGCAGGAACAGAGUUCUGUGUUUGUGAUCCAUGAAACAGUUACUACCACGCAUUGGGCCCGAAACCAAUGGACCCUCUCGGCUUCUUGAUCACCCUUGUCCUCUGUCCAGGAGUUGCAACUAGUUUCUGGUGUUUAUAGGAUAUGUGUUGGCGGCCGUGCGUAGCGCUGACCCUAGGGGUGGGCUAUGUUGCGGUAGAUACACCGUGGCACGGUGUAUCGGGCGCCCAUUUGGUGUCUCGGGAACCCUGUUCACAUCGUUCGGGCCGUGUGUGGAAACCUCGGCCGGACUCCCUGCGGAUGGAACCUGGAUAGGCGAUAAACCUGGACUAGAGACUUGAGUGUUUAGGUAGGCCGUGGCCGACACCCUCGUUGGGCUUCCGCUUGAAGGUUGCCGAGUACAUGUCGUGUAAAUGGCGGUAAGUGGUGAGAGCGUGUGUGAAGAAGUACACCCCUGCAGGGUUAACAUCAUCUAUUCGAAUAGCCGUGUCCGUGGUAAAGGACUUCUGGGUUGCCUAUAACAGUUCAUAGACAAGUGAAAGUGGAUACUCUAAAACUCACAAGAUAAGUGUGAGUGCUAUGGAUGGCUUUCUCGUAGGGAGACGAGAGCGGAUCCAUAGUGGUGUAUUGAAUGGUGAAUAUGUGGACUCGUGUGCGCCACCUCAAAAGAGUUGCUUGAAGUCGUAGUUCAGAUUAGCCACUGAGUCAAAGCUGGCUUGCUGCAGUUAAACUCCACCACCCUCCCUUUUGAUACCGAUGCAUAUGUAGUUCGGUUCUAAUGUAAGUCUUGCUGAGUACUUUUGUACUCACGUUUGCUUAAUUUAUGUUUUGCAGAGAGAUUUCAGUCUCGCUAGUAUAUCCGCGUGGACUUCGACGUUUAGCUUGUUACCUCAGCUAUGAUCUUGUGCCCUCAGUAGGAUCUGGUAGAUAGUCAGGCUUCUUAGCCUUUUUCAUUUGUAGAUGUCUGUACUCAGACAUGUUAAGCUUCCGCAUGUGCUUUGCAUUGUAUGCUAUGACUGCUGGGUCAUGAGACCCAUGUUUGUAAUAUCUCGCUCCUCGGAGCCUAAUGAAUAAAUACUGAAGUCGUAGAGUUAUGUUGUGAUGCCAUGUUGUAUUUACACAUAUCGAGCAUAUUGUGUGUAUGAUUGAAAUGCUUGCUAUGUGUGGGAUCCGACAAUCUAGUUGUUUAUCCUUGGCAGCCUCUCUUAUGGGGAAAUGUAGUCUAGUGCCUUCUUGAGCCAUAGUAGUCCGCUACAGCCCGGUUCACCGGAGUCCUGGUAGCCCGGCACUACUGCUCAGGACACUUGACUGGACGGCAUGUGUUUCACUUCGUUCAUGUGUCUGUUCCUUCAGGGAAAUGUCACGCGGUGACAUCCGGAGUCCUGCCUAGCCUGCUACAGCCCGGGUUCCCGGAGUCCUGUUAGCCCAGUGCUACAGCCCGGAUUCACACGCUGCUGACCGACAUGCUCGAUGUGAUUCAUGUAUGCCUGUCCCCAUAGGUUAGUGCCGCUUUGGGUUCACGACUAGCCAUGUCGGCAUGGGUUCUCUGUCAUAUGGAUGCUAGCAACACCAUCAUAUACGUGAGUCAAAAGGCGCAAACGGUCCCGGGCCAUGGUAAGGCGACACCCGUGGGAUACCGUGCGUGAGGCCGCAAAGUGAUAUGAGGUGUUACCGUCUAGAUCAAUGUGGCAUGGAAUCGGGAUCCUGACAGUGUUGGUAUCAGAGCCUGACUACCUGUAGGAUUACCAAGCCAAACCGGUCGAAGUUGUGUCUAGAAAUGCUUUAGUUAUGUAAGGGAAUUGAUUGUGGAAGGGAGCGCAAGGCUCUUUUUACUCCUUAUACCUCAUGGCCUUCUGAUCUGAGUCAACCUCUUCUCUUCUACGGGGAUUAAGAACUAGGCCUUCUCAUCUAUCUAUCAGGAUGACGUGUUACUGAACCGUAGUUGCCUAGGAUUGUUGAGUUCAAGCCUCAGUUCAGUUCCUACUACUUCCAUAUAUUCAUAACUGGCCUCAGAACCUUGAUAUUGUGAUGUUGAAUGGUUAUGCCACCAUUUUGCAGGAUGACUCAAAUCAUUUUUAGCAUUUACAGCCGUUAUGCUGUCCGAGUCAUCCCAGGUUUCUAAACAAUCUGAUGCAUUUGCAAAUCCCUUUCUCCUAUGUUUGAUGUCUUUUGGGCCAGUCUAACCACACUAUCCGGUGCAUUGAGGUAAUUUUUUGCCUCGACAUUUAAGUUGGAGUUAUUACUACGACCCUAAGUGUCUUAGAAGAUUACCUAGUAAUCUAGCCAUGAUUUGUGUUCCGGUGUGAUGAUUCUGGACACCAUUCUCGAAAGCAUCCCGUGAUGCCAUUUAGUAGUAGGUAUUCUACUCAUGGGUUCUUGAACCUGAGAUUCACCCUACUUACCUCAUGUUGAUAGUGUUGCUAGAUUCUUUAGGAUAUUAGUAACCUUUGCGGUAGUCCUCGAGGUUCAUGGUACAUCCUUCUUCCAAUUAUCAUGAACCAUUCUUGGCAGGAGUUCUUUUGAACCAAAAGGUCACGACAGAGUGCUCCUGAUAAGUUCUCCAUUCUAUGUUGUGACUCUGCCAACCCUACUUUUCUGCAUGGGUUAUCCGGAAGAAAUAUGUUGAACUCGUUCGACAUACUAAUCUAUGCAUCCACAACUCAGAAAGUUAUAUGUACCCUUGAGUUGUCCCCCUUCCGUUAUAUUCCGAUCUUCGUCUAUCAAUUGAUAGUGAGGAGUAUGUAUGCAUUCGUGUUCAUCGGUGCCUAGUAUUCUUGUGGUUCAUCAAGCCAUUCUAUUUCAGAAUGACUGGGAGAAAUAAACUCCAGUACCUCAUCCAUAUCCAGGAUUGGGCCAAAGCAGUUGUAUUCCGCAGAUCAAAAUGCAACCCAGCUUUUGGUUCUGUUCUACCCUGAAGUAUUACCCACUUUAUGUCAGGACUGUCGUGAGAAUUGCACCACCUCUUAUGAAUUCUUGACAUAGUAAUACUUCUUGCCAUCAUUGUUCAUUCCUCAGUUCGGUGUUAUUAUAACCAGAAUGCCGACAAGUGAAUCGUGAUGUGUGAAAUCAAUACUCCGAGCAACUCAUUGCUUGGUAGUAAAUGGACAAUAUUCUCAUUCUUAGCGUGUUGGUUAUUGAACUACCAUUCUAAGAUUGAUCAUGCUACCUAGUCCAUAUUUCCGGGUGCACUCAUCGACCAAGGAGUUAGGACUGUGACAAUCCCUCGCUCCUUGAUCAUAUCGUCUUGCCCUGAAAAGCAAGAUUGUUCUCGAGCUUAAUAACAUAUCGGUGGUUCGUGAUUUUCCGAUUAUCUUCUCGGAAUUGUCACCAGGUUGUCACCUGAUCAUUAUGUUGAGUUCAUGAUCAAGUUGGUUUUCCGAUAAACCACUUUUUCCUCAGGAACCUGUGUUGGAUACCCCUGAGCUAGUUGGUUAGGCUUAACAACAACUUGGAGAGUUGGAAGAUAAAAGCUUGUCUGACUUAGUUCAUGUUAAGGGAUAUCUUUGUGUUUGUGCGUGUGUUGAAGAAAGAUGAUAUCUUCACCAAUUGGUCCUCGUGAUCAGUUGUUGGAUCUAUUGUCUUGUCAAAACUUUGACUUGAGUAUGGGCUAUCGUCAAGUCAAAUCAGAACCAACGAUGUUCGUAAUGUUGUUUUACUUGUGGUUGAUCCCUCGAGCAUACACCAUUACAUCCUUUGGUCUGACCAAUGCUACCACUGUGUUCACAUGAUGGUGGAAGUCCAGUGAUAUGGAAAUUUUGAUGAGUUGCUGUUGAGCCCAUCAGCAGCAUGUUGUCUCCCCCAUAAUUCAUGUUGAACAUCUAAGUUAGUGUUGGAAACUUUUGUAAGCAUUAUCUUCAUGUCCCGUUCAUGAAAUACAUGUUUGGUGUAAGAAGUGACUUUCUCCAAGUUCAUGUGCAUUAGGUGCAAGUUGUCGCCGUGAAUCCGAGAAAGAUUGUUUUGCUUCCUUUGGAAUUGUCCCAAGUCAGUCAUGUACGUGCGAAGUACUCUAUGGUCUGAUAGACUGAUCAUCUUCAUUCCAUACGUAUCCCUAGCACACCAAGCCACUGAUUGAUUUGUUCAAGGAGAAGAAGUUCCUUCUUAAGAAUCAUGACUUAUGUUAGGACUUUGUUAUCCUCGAUAAUGGUUCCCCACCUGAACUUGAUAGUGUUUUAUUAUAAGACUACCAUGUGGUCAUGCUUGUCUGGGACAUCGUGUUCACAUGUGUUUAGCAGAACCAGCUCCUAUUUUGGAGCUUACUACCAUAGUCCAUUUCCUGAGAAUCUCGCAAUGUCAUCUCGUCGAUUUGUGUUGCAAACUUUCAUUCCUUUCUAGACCCGAUGAGUCUGUAAUAUCCUCACACCAACCAGAUCUGAAUCUCAGGCAGAUGUGAUGGUUGGGACGUUUUCCCAAGAGCUAUAAUAUUGGUCUCUCUGUAACCCGGUAAAGUGGAUGUCGUGGCCAACACACCUAGCCGGAAGACCUAUUAUUGUAGUAUCUUGAUUGAGUAAGUUGGCCACCUUCCCAUGAGGAUUUCAUAGGAUUUACCUCCGUAGUUAAUCCUUACGAAUUCUUGAGCUUCUGAAGUCCGACCUUGUACUUGAUGUUCUAGAUAUCAAACCAUAUCUAUGAAUGGAUUAUGCUAGCACAUCAAGGAGAACAUUAGAAGCGGAGUGCUAAAUGUCUCUCGGUCGAUCAUCCAGAUUUUGUUUCCUUGGCCUCGCUAAGGUGAAAUCUGAGAAAGUGUUAUCUUCCAUUGCAUCUGCAUUAUCCAUCACCAUUCAUCAUGGUGGUAUGUUGUGUUGCCAGGAUCCUUGACACGGAUAUUGGUAAAACCUUGAUGAGUAUGGAAAUGCUCAAGUUCUUGAGAGCACGCUCAGGCACUAGGUUCUGAUGUUGUCAUUAACUGGAAUGUGCCUCCGUUCUCUCAGUUGUUCGAUAGCCAUCCAAUUGGUGGAAUCACCUUUGCCGGUGAACCUUCUCCCCAGUUACUAGAAUCAUUUCCAACAUUUGCAUUUUGUUCCCAGCUUACACCUCAAUAGCUGUGGUUCAGGAUCAUCUUCAAAAGUGGACUUACCAUAGGUCCCAUCCAUUUCCGAUGAUAAGCAAAAAUCAUCCAUUGCGUUGUCUUCAACAAGGUAGUCCACAUCAUCCAAUCUGGCAUGGGUAUGCCAUUCGCUCGAACUCGUUUACACGAUCAUUUGUGAUUGCCUUAAGCUGGUAUAAAGAAUUUCAAUGAUCUCUGAAUCAAAAGUAAUUCUUUUUGCCACUUAAGGGAAUAUUUCUGCGAGUCACCUUCCUUAAGAUGUCUCGCUAUGGUAUCAUGGCAACCCAACCCCUCGCUACGUUGACACCGUUCACCACACUCCUAUGUGUGGAAAUUCCGCUACUUACUCAAACCUUGUCAUAUGCUCAUUUCCAUCAUUUCUGAUGUGUGUAUCGUGUCUCAUCUCGACGGAUGUCGCUAUGUCUCGUUCUGUGAGUUGAUCGUCGGUUGCUCGAUCUUCAAGAAGAUCGAUUCUUCGAGAGUUUCUUUUCUUCUUGUCAUCAUGCUGGAUGAAGAUCCCGAAAGCAAAGACGUCAAGAUCAACAUGACGCAAUGAAUCAAUAUCCUCAAGAAAGACGUCUAGAUCGUGGAGAUUAUGUUGGUCGUGUGUUCCCUAUGUCUUCUUACCUCACGACUUGAAUCUCGGGACGAGAUUCUUGUUUAGUGGGGGUGAGUUGUCACAGCCCUAGAAAUCUUCUUGUAAUUAGUGGCAUUGCAUCCAUGCAUCAAUUUCAAUUUCUUUUAAUUUUGAAAUGGGGGCUGAUAAACCCUAGCAGCAAAUGAAACUCAACUAGGGUCCAAAUAAAAAUCAUUUCACUAAACCCAAAAUGCCCCUCUAAAAUGUUCAUAAUCUUUGGAUUGGUCUUGAACCUCUACCAAAAAUAUUGCACAUUUUUCUAGGUCAAUUGGGGGUCACUGAAUUAAAUCAUACAGUAUUUCCAUUUGAGCAUUUAAAUCCUAUAAAAUAUUUUAAAUGCCCAAAUAAUCACAAACUGAAAUGUUUACUGUUGGAAAUAUUCCAAACAGUGGCCACAGACAGUUGCAUGAUUUUUGGAAAUGCUCUGGCAUUUUAAAUAAAUCCAAACACAAUUACAUAAAAAUACAAAACAGAAAUAAGAAAAGAGAGAGAGAAGGACUAACCUGGCGUUUACCUGAGGCCCACUUACCUACUGGCCCAGCAGACUCGGCCAGCCCACCAGGGGCGCCUUGGUCUUCUUCCACCUCUUCCAGUAGGCAGAGGCGUGUCGACGCCAGCGCGCCCGAGGCCUCCACCUCCUCCCUCCCAGCCUGCUUGGCUCCUCCUCGAUGCACCGGGCGACGCCACGCAGCCCUGGCCCCUCUCACCCUCUCCCGUGCCCCUCCCCUCCUUUCCUCUCUCUCCCUCUCUCGCCUGAGCGCAACCGCCGAUGACGCUCGCCAUAGCCGUGUCCACCGAGCUCCCAACGCCUCACCGACGCGCCCACGAGUUCCGCCUCGUCCCUCUCUUCCUCCUCACCGAGCCACCCAACGCCGAAAGCCCCUGGAAGCCGCAAGCCCCGCCGUUCCCCUCGUCGGCCAACGAAGAUCGUCGCCGUCGAUUUGCUGCCUCCGGUGCCCCCCCGGGCUCGCUGACCCUUCCAUUCGACUCACUGUGAGCUCCUCUGCCGCUCCCCUCUCUCCCCGUGCUCUAUUGCGCCGUGAACCCGCCGUUUCCACCUGACCCGAGAGCCGGCCGCCGCCGUUCUAGUCGCCGUCGUAACAAGAGCUAGCAAAGCUUGUUCUCGAACAUGGCUACAUGCUCAGCAGCUCCGCAGCAAGCGAACACCGCCACCAGCUCAUCUUCUCGUGCACCAUAGCGCUGUGCCGCUCGAGCCAAGCUCCGGCAACCGCCGCGGGCUCCACUCCGGCGAGCUCCGGCCUCCCCACGACCCAGCACCUGCACCGUUCGACGCGCGGGAGCAAGAGCUUCCCAACGCACCCAGACACGCUUCGAACGAGGCCCCGUAGCGCUUUUCCGAGCCGCACCACCGUCUCGGCCCUCGCUGGCGGCUAAACGCCGGCGGGUUGACCGCUUUGACCGGCAGGGUUGACCCCGGUGGCCCGGGUAGACCCCGGGUUGACCUCCCCUGGGUCCUGACGUGUGGAACCAGGCCCUGUUUAAUUACUGUUAGUUUAAUUAGUGUUAAAUAACUUAGUUAACCCACUGACUCGCUAACAUGUGGGCCCAGCCCUGCUGACAUUUUAGUUAGUGUUAGCUUAGGGCUAAUUAACUCAGUCAAUUAGCUGAGUCACUGACCAGUGGGUCCCACUGGUCAGGUUUGACCUGGUGGACUCCUUUGACCUGCUGACAUCACCCCGACAUUAUGCUGACGCAGUAAUAGGCUUUUCUGGAUUUAUUCUUAUUCAGGAAAUUUCAGAAAAUACCCAAAACUUGUAAAAUUCAUAGAAAUUCAACCGUAACUCCAAAUGAAAUAAUUUAUAUAUGAAAAAUUAUCAGAAAAAUUCAACGAAUCUGAAUAUGGCAUUUUCAUGCAUGUUUGGACAACCUAACCUCACUGUUUAGACCAAAACAUGAUAAUGCACUAUUUGAAUCCAUAGUUUGAAUUUGAAUUUGAACCUAGUGUUCAAACCAAAUCUAUUUAACUUGUUGUUAGUUGCAUUAGCUCAAUCAUAACAUUACUGCCAUGUCACAUUCAUGCAUCAUAUUGUUGCAUUGCAUUAAUUGUGUUUCCUCUCUGUUGCCGGUGUUUGUCCCUUCUCAGUAGAUGACGUUCUGAUAAAUUGAUCGAUGACACCGAUGAAGAACUAUACUAUCUUCAGAAGUGCCAGGCAAGCACAACCCCCUUGCUUAUUCUGAUACAAGCCCACUCUCUCGCUCCUGCUUUCUUUUACUGCAUUAGGACAACAACGAUUCAACUGUACAUGCUGCGGUAGUUGAACCCCUUCCUUUGCAUGACCUGUCAUUGCCACAGUAAAUAGAUGAAACCCACUAGCAUGAGUAGGAGUUGUUUGAGCCCUGAUGUGCCUACUCAUUCAUGCCUGUUUGUCUUGCCUGCUACUGCUUAGAGUUGAGUCAGGUCUGGUUCAUCGGGGAUGAAUCGGAGGUGUGUAAACAUGUCCUACUGUUGAGAGCUAAGUGUGUGAACAUGAUUUGGUAAAGGUAGCGGUGAGAGGCCAUGUAGGAGUACAUGGUGGGUUGUCUCAUUGAAGCCGUCCUCAGGAACUGAGUUCUAUGUUUGUGAUCCAUGAAACAGUUACUACCACGCAUUGGGCCCGAAACCAAUGGACCCUCUCGGCUUCUUGAUCACCCUUGUCCUCUGUCCAGGAGUUGCAACUAGUUUCUGGUGUUUAUAGGAUAUGUGUUGGCGGCCGUGCAUAGCGCUGACCCUAGGGGUGGGCUAUGUUGCGGUAGAUACACUAUGGCACGGUGUACCAGGCGCCCGUUUGGUGUCUCGGGAACCCUGUUCACAUCGUUCGGGGCCGUAUGUGGAAACCUCGGCCGGACUCCCUGCGGAUGGAACCUGGAUAGGCGAUAAACCUGGACUAGAGACUUGAGUGUUUAGGUAGGCCGUGGCCGACACCCUCGUUGGGCUUCCGCUUGAAGGUUGCCGAGUACAUGUCGUGUAAAUGGCAGUAAGUGGUGAGAGCGUGUGUGAAGAAGUACACCCCUGCAGGGUUAACAUCAUCUAUUCGAAUAGCCGUGUCCGCGGUAAAGGACUUCUGGGUUGCCUAUAACAGUUCAUAGACAAGUGAAAGUGGAUACUCUAAAACUUGCAAGAUAAGUGUGAGUGAUAUGGAUGGCCUUCUCGUAGGGAGACGAGAGCGGAUCCAUAGUGGUGUAUUGAAUGGUAAAUAUGUGGACUCGUGUGCGCCACCUCAAAAGAGUUCCUUGCAUUCGUAGUUCAGAUUAGCCACUGAGUCAAAGCUGGCUUGCUGCAGUUAAACUCCACCACCUCCCUUGUUGAUACCGAUGCAUAUGUAGUUUGGUUCUGAUGUAAGUCUUGCUGAGUACUUUUGUACUCACGUUUGCUUAAUUUAUGUUUUGCAGAGAGAUUUCAGUCUCGCUAGUGUAUCCGCGUGGACUUCGAUGUUUAGCUUGUUACCUCAGCUACGAUCUUGUGCCCUCGGCAGGAUCUGGUAGAUAGUCAGGCUUCUUAGCCUUUUUCAUUUAUAGAUGUCUGUAUCAGACAUGUUAAGCUUCCGCAUGUGCUUUGCAUUGUAUGCUAUGACUGCUGGGUCAUGAGACCCAUGUUUGUAAUAUCUCGCUCCUCGGAGCCUAAUGAAUAAAUACUGAAGUCGUAGAGUUAUGUUGUGAUGCCAUGUUGUAUUUACACAUAUCGAGCAUAUUGUGUGUAUGAUUGAAAUGCUUGCUAUGUGUGGGAUCCGACAAUCUAGUUGUUUAUCCUUGGCAGCCUCUCUUAUGGGGAAAUGAAGUCUAGUGCCUUCUUGAGCCAUAGUAGUCCGCUACAGCCCGGUUCACCGAAGUCCUGCUAGCCCAGCACUACUGCUCAGGACACUUGACUGGCCGGCAUGUGUUUCACUUUGUUCAUGUGUCUGUUCCUUUAGGGAAAUGUCACACGGUGACAUCCGGAGUCCUGCCUAGCCUGCUACAGCCCGGGUUCCCGGAGUCCUGUUAGCCCAGUGCUACAGCCCGGAUUCACACGCUGCUGACCGACAUGCUCGAUGUGAUUCAUGUAUGCCUGUCCCCAUAGGUUAGUGCCGCUUUGGGUUCACGACUAGCCAUGUCGGCAUGGGUUCUCUGUCAUAUGGAUGCUAGCAACACCAUCAUAUACGUGAGUCAAAAGGCGCAAACGGUCCCGGGCCAUGGUAAGGCGACACCCGUGGGAUACCGUGCGUGAGGCUGCAAAGUGAUAUGAGGUGUUACCGUGUAGAUCAAUGUGGCAUGGAAUCGGGGUCCUGACAGCGUUGGUAUCAGAGCCUGACUACCUGUAGGAUUACCAAGCCAAACCGGUCGAAGUUGUGUCUAGAAAUGCUUUAGUUAUGUAAGGGAAUUGAUUGUGGAAGGGAGCGCAAGGCUCUUUUUACUCCUUAUACCUCAUGGCCUUCUGAUCUGAGUCAACCUCUUCUCUUCUACGGGGAUUAAGAACUAGGCCUUCUCAUCUAUCUAUCAGGAUGACGUGUUACUGAACCGUAGUUGCCUAGGAUUGUUGAGUUCAAGCCUCAGUUCAGUUCCUACUACUUCCAUAUAUUCAUAACUGGCCUCAGAACCUUGAUAUUGUGAUGUUGAAUGGUUAUGCCACCAUUUUGCAGGAUGACUCAAAUCAUUUUUAGCAUUUACAGCCGUUAUGCUGUCCGAGCCAUCCCAGGUUUCUAAACAAUCUGAUGCAUUUGCAAAUCCCUUUCUCCUAUGUUUGAUGUCUUUUGGGCCAGUCUAACCACACUAUCCGGUGCAUUGAGGUAAUUUUUUGCCUCGACAUUUAAGUUGGAGUUAUUACUACGACCCUAAGUGUCUUAGAAGAUUACCUAGUAAUCUAGCCAUGAUUUGUGUUCCGGUGUGAUGAUUCUGGCCACCAUUCUCGAAAGCAUCCCGUGAUGCCAUUUAGUAGUAGGUAUUCUACUCAUGGGUUCUUGAACCCGAGAUUCACCCUACUUACCUCAUGUUGAUAGUGUUGCUAGAUCCUUUAGGAUAUUAGUAACCUUUGCGAUAGUCCUCGAGGUUCGUGGUACAUCCUUCUUCCAAUUAUCAUGAACCAUUCUUGGCAGGAGUUCUUUUGAACCAAAAGGUCACGACAGAGUGCUCCUGAUAAGUUCUCCAUUCUAUGUUGUGACUCUGCCAACCCUACCUUUCUGCAUGGGUUAUCCGGAAGAAAUAUGUUGAACUCGUUCGACAUACUAAUCUAUGCAUCCACAACUCAGAAAGUUAUAUGUACCCUUGAGUUGUCCCCCUUCCGUUAUAUUCCGAUCUUCGUCUAUCAAUUGAUAGUGAGGAGUAUGUAUGCAUUCGUGUUCAUCGAUGCCUAGUAUUCUUGUGGUUCAUCAAGCCAUUCUAUUUCAGAAUGACUGGGAGAAAUAAACUCCAGUACCUCAUCCAUAUCCAGGAUUGGGCCAAAGCAGUUGUAUUCCGCAGAUCAAAAUGCAACCCAGCUUUUGGUUCUGUUCUACCCUGAAGUAUUACCCACUUUAUGUCAGGACUGUCGUGAGAAUUGCACCACCUCUUAUGAAUUCUUGACGCAAUAAUACUUCUUGCCAUCAUUGUUCAUUCCUCAGUUCCGUGUUAUUAUAACCGGAAUGCCGACAAGUGAAUCGUGAUGUGUGAAAUCAAUACUCCGAGCAACUCAUUGCUUGGUAGUAAAUGGACAAUAUUCUCAUUCUUAGCGUGUUGGUUAUUGAACUACCAUUCUAAGAUUGAUCAUGCUACCUAGUCCAUAUUUCCGGGUGCACUCAUCGACCAAGGAGUUAGGACUGUGACAAUCCCUCGCUCCUUGAUCAUAUCGUCUUGCCCUGAAAAGCAAGAUUGUUCUCGAGCUUAAUAACAUAUCGGUGGUUCGUGAUUUUCCGAUUAUCUUCUCGGAAUUGUCACCAGGUUGUCACCUGAUCAUUAUGUUGAGUUCAUGAUCAAGUUGGUUUUCUGAUAAACCACUUUUUCCUCAGGAACCUGUGUUGGAUACCCUUGAGCUAGUUGGUUAGGCUUAACAACAACUUGGAGAGUUGGAAGAUAAAAGCUUGUCUGACUUAGUUCAUGUUAAGGGAUAUCUUUGUGUUUGUGCGUGUGUUGAAGAAAGAUGAUAUCUUCACCAAUUGGUCCUCGUGAUCAGUUGUUGGACCUAUUGUCUUGUCAAAACUUUGACUUGAGUAUGGGCUAUCGUCAAGUCAAAUCAGAACCAACGAUGUUCGUAAUGUUGUUUUACUUGUGGUUGAUCCCUCGAGCAUACACCAUUACAUCCUUUGGUCUGACCAAUGCUACCACUGUGUUCACAUGAUGGUGGAAGUCCAGUGAUAUGGAAAUUUUGAUGAGUUGCUGUUGAGCCCAUCAGCAGCAUGUUGUCUCCCCCAUAAUUCAUGUUGAACAUCUAAGUUAGUGUUGGAAACUUUUGUAAGCAUUAUCUUCAUGUCCCGUUCAUGAAAUACAUGUUUGGUGUAAGAAGUGACUUUCUCCAAGUUCAUGUGCAUUAGGUGCAAGUUGUCGCCGUGAAUCCGAGAAAGAUUGUUUUGCUUCCUUUGGAAUUGUCCCAAGUCAGUCAUGUACGUGCAAAGUACUCUAUGGUCUGAUAGACUGAUCAUCUUCAUUCCAUACGUAUCCCUAGCACACCAAGCCACUGAUUGAUUUGUUCAAGGAGAAGAAGUUCCUUCUUAAGAAUCAUGACUUAUGUUAGGACUUUGUUAUCCUCGAUAAUGGUUCCCCACCUGAACUUGAUAGUGUUUUAUUAUAAGACUACCAUGUGGUCAUGCUUGUCUGGGACAUCGUGUUCACAUGUGUUUAGCAGAACCAGCUCCUAUUUUGGAGCUUACUACCAUAGUCCAUUUCCUGAGAAUCUCGCAAUGUCAUCUCGUCGAUUUGUGUUGCAAACUUUCAUUCCUUUCUAGACCCGAUGUGUCUGUAAUAUCCUGACACCAACCAGAUCUGAAUCUCAGGCAGAUGUGAUGGUUGGGACGUUUUCCCAAGAGCUAUAAUAUUGGUCUCUCUGUAACCCGGUAAAGUGGAUGUCGUGGCCAACACACCUAGCCGGAAGACCUAUUAUUGUAGUAUCUUGAUUGAGUAAGUUGGCCACCUUCCCAUGAGGAUUUCAUAGGAUUUACCUCCGUAGUUAAUCCUUACGAAUUCUUGAGCUUCUGAAGUCCGACCUUGUACUUGAUGUUCUAGAUAUCAAACCAUAUCUAUGAAUGGAUUAUGCUAGCACAUCAAGGAGAACAUUAGAAGCGGAGUGCUAAAUGUCUCUCGGUCGAUCAUCCAGAUUUUGUUUCCUUGGCCUCGCUAAGGUGAAAUCUGAGAAAGUGUUAUCUUCCCUUGCAUCUGCAUUAUCCAUCACCAUUCAUCAUGGUGGUAUGUUGUGUUGCCAGGAUCCUUGACACGGAUAUUGGUAAAACCUUGAUGAGUAUGGAAAUGCUCAAGUUCUUGAGAGCACGCUCAGGCACUAGGUUCUGAUGUUGUCAUUAACUGGAAUGUGCCUCCGUUCUCUCAGUUGUUCGAUAGCCAUCCAAUUGGUGGAAUCACCUUUGCCGGUGAACCUUCUCCCCAGUUACUAGAAUCAUUUCCAACAUUUGCAUUUUGUUCCCAGCUUACACCUCAAUAGCUGUGGUUCAGGAUCAUCUUCAAAAGUGGACUUACCAUAGGUCCCAUCCAUUUCCGAUGAUAAGCAAAAAUCAUCCAUUGCGUUGUCUUCAACAAGGUAGUCCACAUCAUCCAAUCUGGCAUGGGUAUGCCAUUCGCUCGAACUCGUUUACACGAUCAUUUGUGAUUGCCUUAAGCUGGUAUAAAGAAUUUCAAUGAUCUCCGAAUCAAAACUAAUUCUUUUUGCCACUUAAGGGAAUAUUUCUGCGAGUCACCUUCCUUAAGAUGUCUCGCUAUGGUAUCAUGGCAACCCAACCCCUCGCGACAUUGACACCGUUCACCACACUCCUAGGUGUGGGAAUUCCGCUACUUACUCAAACCUUGUCAUAUGCUCAUUUCCAUCAUUUCUGAUGUGUGUAUCGUGUCUCAUCUCGACAGAUGUCGCUAUGUCUCGUUCUGUGAGUUGAUCGUCGGUUGCUCGAUCUUCAAGAAGAUCGAUUCUUUGAGAGUUUCUUUUCUUCUCGUCAUCAUGCUGGAUGAAGAUCCCGAAAGCAAAGACGUCAAGAUCAAGAUGACGCAAUGAAUCAAUAUCCUCAAGAAAGACGUCUAGAUCGUGGAGAUUAUGUUGGUCGUGUGUUCCCUAUGUCUUCUUACCUCACGACUUGAAUCUCGGGACGAGAUUCUUGUUUAGUGGGGGUGAGUUGUCACAGGAAUUGCAUCCAUGCAUCAAUUUCAAUUUCUUUUAAUUUUGAAAUGGGGGCUGAUAAACCCUAGCAGCAAAUGAAACUCAACUAGGGUCCAAAUAAAAAUCAAUUCACUGAACCCAAAAUGCCCCUCUAAAAUGUUCAUCAUCUUUGGAUUGGUCUUGAACCUCUGCCAAAAAUAUUGCACAUUUUUCUAGGUCAAUUGGGGGUCACUGAAUUAAAUCAUACAGUAUUUCCAUUUGAGCAUUUAAAUCCUAUAAAAUAUUUUAAAUGCCCAAAUAAUCACAAACUGAAAUGUUUACUGUUGGAAAUAUUCCAAACAGUGGCCACAGUCAGUUGCAUGAUUUUUGGAAAUGCUCUGGCAUUUUAAAUAAAUCCAAACACAAUUACAUAAAAAUACAAAACAGAAAUAAGAAAAGAGAGAGAGAAGGACUAACCUGGCGUUUACUUGAGGCCCACUUACCUGGUGGCCCAGCAGACUCGGCCAGCCCACCAGGGGCGCCUUGGUCUUCUUCCACCUCUGCCAGUAGGCAGAGGCGUGUCGACGCCAGCGCGCCCGAGGCCUCCACCUCCUCCCUCCCAGCCUGCCUGGCUCCUCCUCAAUGCACCAGGCGACGCCACGCAGCCCUGGCCCCUCUCACCCUCUCCCGUGCCCCUCCCCUCCUCUGCUCUCUCUCCCUCUCGCGCCUGAGCGCAACCGCCGACGACGCUCGCCAUAGCUGUGCCCACCGAGCUCCCAACGCCUCACCAACGCGCCCACGAGCUCCGCCUCGUCCCUCUCUUCCUCCUCACCGAGCCGCCCGACGCCGGAAGCCCCUGGAAGCCGCAAGCCCCGCCGUUCCCCUCGUCGGCCAACGAAGAUCGUCGCCGUCGAUUUGCUGCCUCCGGUGCCCCCCCCGGGCUCGCUGACCCUUCCAUUCGACUCACUGUGAGCUCCUCUGCUGCUCCCCUCUCUCCCCGUGCUCUGUUGCGCCGUGAGCCCGCCGUUUCCACCUGACCCGAGAGCCAGCCGCCGCCGUUCUAGUCGCCACCGUAACAAGAGCUAGCAAAGCUCGUUCCCGAACACGGCUACAUGCUCAUUAGCUCCGCAGCAAGCGAACGCCGCCACCAGCUCAUCUUCUCGUGCACCAUAGCACUGUGCCGCUCGAGCCAAGCUCCGGCAACCGCCGCGGGUUCCACCCCGGCGAGCUUCGGCCUCCCCACGACCCAGCACCUGCACCGUUCGACGCGCGGGAGCAGGAGCUUCCCAACGCACCCAGACACGCUUCGAACGAGGCCCCGUAGCGCUUUUCCGAGCUGCACCGCCGUCUCGGCCCUCGCUGGUGGCUAAACGCCGGCGGGUUGACCACUUUGACCGGCAGGGUUGACCCCGCUGGCCCGGGUAGACCCCGGGUUGACCUCCCCUGGGUCCUGACGUGUGGAACCAGGCCCUGUUUAAUUACUGUUAGUUUAAUUAGUGUUAAAUAACUUAGUUAACCCACUGACUCGCUAACAUGUGGGCCCAGCCCUGCUGACAUUUUAGUUAGUGUUAGCUUAGGGCUAAUUAACUCAGUCAAUUAGCUGAGUCACUGACCAGUGGGUCCCACUGGUCAGGUUUGACCUGGUGGACUCCUUUGACCUGCUGACGCCACCCCGACAUCAUGCUGAUGCAAUAAUAGGCUUUUCUGGAUUUAUUCUUAUUCAGGAAAUUUCAGAAAAUACCCAAAACUUGUAAAAUUCAUAGAAAUUCAACCGUAACUCCAAAUGAAAUAAUUUAUAUAUGAAAAAUUAUCAGAAAAAUUCAAGGAAUCUGAAUAUGGCAUUUUCAUGCAUGUUUGAACAACCUAACCUCACUGUUUAGACCAAAACAUGAUAAUGCACUAUUUGAAUCCAUAGUUUGAAUUUGAAUUUGAACCUAGUGUUCAAACCAAAUCUAUUUAACUUGUUGUUUGUUGCAUUAGCUCAAUCAUAACAUUAUUGCCAUGUCACAUUCAUGCAUCAUAUUGUUGCAUUGCAUUAAUUGUGUUUCCUCUCUGUUGCCGGUGCUUGUCCCUUCUCAGUAGAUGAGGUUCUGAUAAAUUGAUCGAUGACACCGAUGAAGAACUAUACUAUCUUCAGAAGUGCCAGGCAAGCACAACCCCCUUGUUCAUUCUGAUACAAGCCCACUCUCUCGCUCCUGCUUUCUUUCACUGCAUUAGGACAACAAUGAUUCAACUGUACAUGCUGCGGUAGUUGAACCCCUUCCUUUGCAUGACCUGUCAUUGCCACAGUAAAUAGAUGAACCCCACUAGCAUGAGUAGGAGUUGUUUGAGCCCUGAUGUGCCUACUCAUUCAUGCUUGUUUGUCUUGCCUGCUACUGCUUAGAGUUGAGUCAGGUCUGGUUCAUCGGGGAUGAAUCGGAGGUGUGUAAACAUGUCCUACUGUUGAGAGCUAAGUGUGUGAACAUGAUUUGGUAAAGAUAGCGGUGAGAGGCCAUGUAGGAGUACAUGGUGGGUUGUCUCAUUGAAGCCGUCCUCAGGAACUGAGUUCUGUGUUUGUGAUCCAUGAAAUAGUUACUACCACGCAUUGGGCCCGAAACCAAUGGACCCUCUCGGCUUCUUGAUCACUCUUGUCCUCUGUCCAGGAGUUGCAACUAGUUUCUGGUGUUUAUAGGAUAUGUGUUGGCGGCCGUGCAUAGCGCUGACCCUAGGGGUGGGCUAUGUUGCGGUAGAUACACCAUGGCACGGUGUACCGGGCGCCCGUUUGGUGUCUCGGGAACCCUGUUCACAUCGUUCGGGGCCGUAUGUGGAAACCUCGGCCGGACUCCCAGCGGAUGGAACCUGGAUAGGCGAUAAACCUGGACUGGAGACUUGAGUGUUUAGGUAGGCCGUGGCCGACACCCUCGUUGGGAUUCCGCUUGAAGGUUGCCGAGUACAUGUUGUGUAAAUGGCGGUAAGUGGUGAGAGCGUGUGUGAAGAAGUACACCCCUGCAGGGUUAACAUCAUCUAUUCGAAUAGCCGUGUCCGCGGUAAAGGACUUCUGGGUUGCCUAUAACAGUUCAUAGACAAGUGAAAGUGGAUACUCUAAAACUUGCAAGAUAAGUGUGAGUGAUAUGGAUGGCCUUCUCAUAGGGAGACGAGAGCGGAUCCAUAGUGGUGUAUUGAAUGGUGAAUAUGUGGACUCGUGUGCGCCACCUCAAAAGAGUUGCUUGAAGUCGUAGUUCAGAUUAGCCACUGAGUCAAAGCUGGCUUGCUGCAGUUAAACUCCACCACCUCCCUUGUUGAUACCGAUGCAUAUGUAGUUCGGUUCUGAUGUAAGUCUUGCUGAGUACUUUUGUACUCACGUUUGCUUAAUUUAUGUUUUGCAGAGAGAUUUCAGUCUCGCUAGUAUAUCCGCGUGGACUUCGACGUUUAGCUUGUUACCUCAGCUACGAUCUUGUGCCCUCGGCAGGAUCUGGUAGAUAGUCAGGCUUCUUAGCCUUUUUCAUUUGUAGAUGUCUGUACUCAGACAUGUUAAGCUUCCGCAUGUGCUUUGCAUUGUAUGCUAUGACUGCUGGGUCAUGAGACCCAUGUUUGUAAUAUCUCGCUCCUCGGAGCCUAAUGAAUAAAUACUGAAGUCGUAGAGUUAUGUUGUGAUGCCAUGUUGUAUUUACACAUAUCGAGCAUAUUGUGUGUAUGAUUGAAAUGCUUGCUAUGUGUGGGAUCCGACAAUCUAGUUGUUUAUCCUUGGCAGCCUCUCUUAUGGGGAAAUGUAGUCUAGUGCCUUCUUGAGCCAUAGUAGUCCGCUACAGCCCGGUUCACCGGAGUCCUGCUAGCCCAGCACUACUGCUCAGGACACUUGACUGGCCGGCAUGUGUUUCACUUCGUUCCUGUGUCUGUUCCUUCAGGGAAAUGUCACGCGGUGACAUCCGGAGUCCUGCCUAGCCUGCUACAGCCCGGGUUCCCGGAGUCCUGUUAGCCCAGUGCUACAGCCCGGAUUCACACGCUGCUGACCGACAUGCUCGAUGUGAUUCAUGUAUGCCUGUCCCCAUAGGUUAGUGCCGCUUUGGGUUCACGACUAACCAUGUCGGCAUGGGUUCUCUGUCAUAUGGAUGCUAGCAACACCAUCAUAUACGUGAGUCAAAAGGCGCAAACGGUCCCGGGCCAUGGUAAGGCGACACCCGUGGGAUACCGUGCGUGAGGCCGCAAAGUGAUAUGAGGUGUUACCGUCUAGAUCAAUGUGGCAUGGAAUCGGGGUCCUGACAGCGUUGGUAUCAGAGCCUGACUACCUGUAGGAUUACCAAGCCAAACCGGUCGAAGUUGUGUCUAGAAAUGCUUUAGUUAUGUAAGGGAAUUGAUUGUGGAAGGGAGCGCAAGGCUCUUUUUACUCCUUAUACCUCAUGGCCUUCUGAUCUGAGUCAACCUCUUCUCUUCUACGGGGAUUAAGAACUAGGCCUUCUCAUCUAUCUAUCAGGAUGACGUGUUACUGAAUCGUAGUUGCCUAGGAUUGUUGAGUUCAAGCCUCAGUUCAGUUCCUACUACUUCCAUAUAUUCAUAACUGGCCUCAGAACCUUGAUAUUGUGAUGUUGAAUGGUUAUGCCACCAUUUUGCAGGAUGACUCAAAUCAUUUUUAGCAUUUACAGCCGUUAUGCUGUCCGAGUCAUCCCAGGUUUCUAAACAAUCUGAUGCAUUUGCAAAUCCCUUUCUCCUAUGUUUGAUGUCUUUUGGGCCAGUCUAACCACACUAUCCGGUGCAUUGAGGUAAUUUUUUGCCUCGACAUUUAAGUUGGAGUUAUUACUACGACCCUAAGUGUCUUAGAAGAUUACCUAGUAAUCUAGCCAUGAUUUGUGUUCCGGUGUGAUGAUUCUGGCCACCAUUCUCGAAAGCAUCCCGUGAUGUCAUUUAGAAGUAGGUAUUCUACUCAUGGGUUCUUGAACCCGAGAUUCACCCUACUUACCUCAUGUUGAUAGUGUUGCUAGAUCCUUUAGGAUAUUAGUAACCUUUGCGAUAGUCCUCGAGGUUCGUGGUACAUCCUUCUUCCAAUUAUCAUGAACCAUUCUUGGCAGGAGUUCUUUUGAACCAAAAGGUCACGACAGAGUGCUCCUGAUAAGUUCUCCAUUCUAUGUUGUGACUCUGCCAACCCUACCUUUCUGCAUGGGUUAUCCGGAAGAAAUAUGUUGAACUCGUUCGACAUACUAAUCUAUGCAUCCACAACUCAGAAAGUUAUAUGUACCCUUGAGUUGUCCCCCUUCCGUUAUAUUCCGAUCUUCGUCUAUCAAUUGAUAGUGAGGAGUAUGUAUGCAUUCGUGUUCAUCGAUGCCUAGUAUUCUUGUGGUUCAUCAAGCCAUUCUAUUUCAGAAUGACUGGGAGAAAUAAACUCCAGUACCUCAUCCAUAUCCAGGAUUGGGCCAAAGCAGUUGUAUUCCGCAGAUCAAAAUGCAACCCAGCUUUUGGUUCUGUUCUACCCUGAAGUAUUACCCACUUUAUGUCAGGACUGUCGUGAGAAUUGCACCACCUCUUAUGAAUUCUUGACGCAGUAAUACUUCUUGCCAUCAUUGUUCAUUCCUCAGUUCCGUGUUAUUAUAACCGGAAUGCCGACAAGUGAAUCGUGAUGUGUGAAAUCAAUACUCCGAGCAACUCAUUGCUUGGUAGUAAAUGGACAAUAUUCUCAUUCUUAGCGUGUUGGUUAUUGACCUACCAUUCUAAGAUUGAUCAUGCUACCUAGUCCAUGUUUCCGGGUGCACUCAUCGACCAAGGAGUUAGGACUGUGACAAUCCCUCGCUCCUUGAUCAUAUCGUCUUGCCCUGAAAAGCAAGAUUGUUCUCGAGCUUAAUAACAUAUCGGUGGUUCGUGAUUUUCCGAUUAUCUUCUCGGAAUUGUCACCAGGUUGUCACCUGAUCAUUAUGUUGAGUUCAUGAUCAAGUUGGUUUUCCGAUAAACCACUUUUUCCUCAGGAACCUGUGUUGGAUACCCUUGAGCUAGUUGGUUAGGCUUAACAACAACUUGGAGAGUUGGAAGAUAAAAGCUUGUCUGACUUAGUUCAUGUUAAGGGAUAUCUUUGUGUUUGUGCGUGUGUUGAAGAAAGAUGAUAUCUUCACCAAUUGGUCCUCGUGAUCAGUUGUUGGAUCUAUUGUCUUGUCAAAACUUUGACUUGAGUAUGGGCUAUCGUCAAGUCAAAUCAGAACCAACGAUGUUCGUAAUGUUGUUUUACUUGUGGUUGAUCCCUCGAGCAUACACCAUUACAUCCUUUGGUCUGGCCAAUGCUACCACUGUGUUCACAUGAUGGUGGAAGUCCAGUGAUAUGGAAAUUUUGAUGAGUUGCUGUUGAGCCCAUCAGCAGCAUGUUGUCUCCCCCAUAAUUCAUGUUGAACAUCUAAGUUAGUGUUGGAAACUUUUGUAAGCAUUAUCUUCAUGUCCCAUUCAUGAAAUACAUGUUUGGUGUAAGAAGUGACUUUCUCCAAGUUCAUGUGCAUUAGGUGCAAGUUGUCGCCGUGAAUCCGAGAAAGAUUGUUUUGCUUCCUUUGGAAUCGUCCCAAGUCAGUCAUGUACGUGCGAAGUACUCUAUGGUCUCAUAGACUGAUCAUCUUCAUUCCAUACGUAUCCCUAGCACACCAAGCCACUGAUUGAUUUGUUCAAGGAGAAGAAGUUCCUUCUUAAGAAUCAUGACUUAUGUUAGGACUUUGUUAUCCUCGAUAAUGGUUCCCCACCUGAACUCGGUAGUGUUUUAUUAUAAGACUACCAUGUGGUCAUGCUUGUCUGGGACAUCGUGUUCACAUGUGUUUAGCAGAACCAGCUCCUGUUUUGGAGCUUACUACCAUAGUCCAUUUCCUGAGAAUCUCGCAAUGUCAUCUCGUCGAUUUGUGUUGCAAACUUUCAUUCCUUUCUAGACCCGAUGAGUCUGUAAUAUCCUCACACCAACCAGAUCUGAAUCUCAGGCAGAUGUGAUGGUUGGGACGUUUUCCCAAGAGCUAUAAUAUUGGUCUCUCUGUAACCCGGUAAAGUGGAUGUCGUGGCCAACACACCUAGCCGGAAGACCUAUUAUUGUAGUAUCUUGAUUGAGUAAGUUGGCCACCUUCCCAUGAGGAUUUCGUAGGAUUUACCUCCGUAGUUAAUCCUUACGGAUUCUUGAGCUUCCGAAGUCCGACCUUGUACUUGAUGUUCUAGAUAUCAAACCAUAUCUAUGAAUGGAUUAUGCUAGCACAUCAAGGAGAACAUUAGAAGCGGGGUGCUAAAUGUCUCUCGGUCGAUCAUCCAGAUUUUGUUUCCUUGGCCUCGCUAAGGUGAAAUCUGAGAAAGUGUUAUCUUCCCUUGCAUUUGCAUUAUCCAUCACCAUUCAUCAUGGUGGUAUGUUCUGUUGCCAGGAUCCUUGACAUGGAUAUUGGUAAAACCUUGAUGAGUAUGGAAAUGCUCAAGUUCUUGAGAGCACGCUCAGGCACUAGCUUCUGAUGUUGUCGUUAACUGGAAUGUGCCUCCGUUCUCUCAGUUGUUCGAUAGACACCCAAUUGGUGGAAUCACCUUUGCCGGUGAACCUUCUCCCCAGUUACUAGAAUCAUUCCCAACAUUUGCAUUUUGUUCCCAGCUUACACCUCAGUAGCUGUGGUUCAGGAUCAUCUUCAAAAGUGGACUUACCAUAGGUCCCAUCCAUUUCCGAUGAUAAGCAAAAAUCAUCCAUUGUGUUGUCUUCAACAAGGUAGUCCACAUCAUCCAUUCUGGCAUGGGUAUGCCAUUCGUUCGAACUCGUUUACACGAUCAUUUGUGAUUGCCUUAAGCUGGUAUAAAGAAUUUCAAUGAUCUCCGAAUCAAAAGUAAUUCUUUUUGCCACUUAAGGGAAUAUUUCUGCGAGUCACCUUCCUUAAGAUGUCUCGCUAUGGUAUCAUGGCAACCCAACCCCUCGCGACAUUGACACCGUUCACCACACUCCUAGGUGUGGGAAUUCCGCUACUUACUCAAACCUUGUCAUAUGCUCAUUUCCAUCAUUUCUGAUGUGUGUAUCGUGUCUCAUCUCGACAGAUGUCGCUAUGUCUCGUUCUGUGAGUUGAUCGUCGGUUGCUCGAUCUUCAAGAAGAUCGAUUCUUUGAGAGUUUCUUUUCUUCUCGUCAUCAUGCUGGAUGAAGAUCCCGAAAGCAAAGACGUCAAGAUCAAGAUGACGCAAUGAAUCAAUAUCCUCAAGAAAGACGUCUAGAUCGUGGAGAUUAUGUUGGUCGUGUGUUCCCUAUGUCUUCUUACCUCACGACUUGAAUCUCGGGACGAGAUUCUUGUUUAGUGGGGGUGAGUUGUCACAGGAAUUGCAUCCAUGCAUCAAUUUCAAUUUCUUUUAAUUUUGAAAUGGGGCUGAUAAACCCUAGCAGCAAAUGAAACUCAACUAGGGUCCAAAUAAAAAUCAUUUCACUGAACCCAAAAUGCCCCUCUAAAAUGUUCAUCAUCUUUGGAUUGGUCUUGAACCUCUGCCAAAAAUAUUGCACAUUUUUCUAGGUCAAUUGGGGGUCACUGAAUUAAAUCAUACAGUAUUUCCAUUUGAGCAUUUAAAUCCUAUAAAAUAUUUUAAAUGCCCAAAUAAUCACAAACUGAAAUGUUUACUGUUGGAAAUAUUCCAAACAGUGGCCACAGUCAGUUGCAUGAUUUUUGGAAAUGCUCUGGCAUUUUAAAUAAAUCCAAACACAAUUACAUAAAAAUACAAAACAGAAAUAAGAAAAGAGAGAGAGAAGGACUAACCUGGCGUUUACCUGAGGCCCACUUACCUGGUGGCCCAGCAGACUCGGCCAGCCCACCAGGGGCGCCUUGGUCUUCUUCCACCUCUGCCAGUAGGCAGAGGCGUGUCGACGCCAGCGCGCCCGAGGCCUCCACCUCCUCCCUCCCAGCCUGCCUGGCUCCUCCUCAAUGCACCAGGCGACGCCACGCAGCCCUGGCCCCUCUCACCCUCUCCCGUGCCCCUCCCCUCCUCUGCUCUCUCUCCCUCUCGCGCCUGAGCGCAACCGCCGACGACGCUCGCCAUAGCCGUGCCCACCGAGCUCCCCACGCCUCACCGACGCGCCCACGAGCUCCGCCUCAUCCCUCUCUUCCUCCUCACCGAGCUGCCCGACGAUGGAAGCCCCAGGAAGCCGCAAGCCCCGCCGUUCCCCUCGUCGGCCAACGAAGAUCGUCGCCGUCGAUUUGCUGCCUCCGGUGCCCCUCCGCGCUCGCUGACCCUUCCAUUCGACUCACUGUGAGCUCCUCUGCCGCUCCCCUCUCUCCCCGUGCUCUGUUGCGCCGUGAACCCGCCGUUUCCACCUGACCCGAGAGCCGGCCGCCGCCGUUCUAGUCGCCGCCGUAACAAGAGCUAGCAAAGCUCGUUCCCGAACACGGCUACAUGCUCAGCAGCUCCGCGGCAAGCGAACGCCGCCACCAGCUCAUCUUCUCGUGCACCAUAGCGCUGUGCCGCUCGAGCCGAGCUCCGGCAACCGCUGUGGGCUCCACUCCGGCGAGCUCCGGCCUCCCCACGACCCAGCACCUGCAUCGUUCGACGCGCGGGAGCAAGAGCUUCCCAAUGCACCCAGACACGCUUCGAACGAGGCCCCGUAGUGCUUUUCCGAGCCGCACCGCCGUCUCGGCCCUCGCCGGCGGCUAAACGCCGGCGGGUUGACCGCUUUGACCGGCAGGGUUGACCCCGCUGGCCCGGGUAGACCCCGGGUUGACCUCCCCUGGGUCCUGACGUGUGGAACCAGGCCCUGUUUAAUUACUGUUAGUUUAAUUAGUGUUAAAUAACUUAGUUAACCCACUGACUCGCUAACAUGUGGGCCCAGCCUUACUGACAUUUUAGUUAGUGUUAGCUUAGGGCUAAUUAACUCAGUCAAUUAGCUGAGUCACUGACCAGUGGGUCCCACUGAUCAGGUUUGACCUGGUGGACUCCUUUGACCUGCUGACGUCACCCCGACAUCAUGCUGACGCAGUAAUAGGCUUUUCUGGAUUUAUUCUUAUUCAGGAAAUUUUAAAAAAUACCCAAAACUUGUAAAAUUCAUAGAAAUUCAACCGUAACUCCAAAUGAAAUAAUUUAUAUAUGAAAAAUUAUCAAAAAAAUUCAAGGAAUCUGAAUAUGGCAUUUUCAUGCAUGUUUGAACAACCUAACAUCACUGUUUAGACCAAAACAUGAUAAUGCACUAUUUGAAUCCAUAGUUUGAAUUUGAAUUUGAACCUAGUGUUCAAGCCAACUCUAUUUAACUUGUUGUUAGUUGCAUUAGCUCAAUCAUAACAUUAUUGCCAUGUCACAUUCAUGCAUCAUAUUGUUGCAUUGCAUUAGUUGUGUUUCCUCUCUGUUGCCGGUGUUUGUCCCCUCUCAGUAGAUGACGUUCUGAUAAAUUGAUCGAUGACACCGAUGAAGAACUAUACUAUCUUCAGAAGUGCCAGGCAAGCACAACCCCCUUGUUCAUUCCGAUACAAGCCCACUCUCUCGCUCCUGCUUUCUUUUACUGCAUUAGGACAACAACGAUUCAACUGUACAUGCUGCGGUAGUUGAACCCCUUCCUUUGCAUGACCUGUCAUUGCCACAGUAAAUAGAUGAAACCCACUAGCAUGAGUAGGAGUUGUUUGAGCCCUGAUGUGCCUACUCAUUCAUGCUUGUUUGUCUUGCCUGCUACUGCUUAGAGUUGAGUCAGGUCUGGUUCAUCGGGGAUGAAUCGGAGGUGUGUAAACAUGUCCUACUGUUGAGAGCUAAGUGUGUGAACAUGAUUUGGUAAAGGUAGCGGUGAGAGGCCAUGUAGGAGUACAUGGUGGGUUGUCUCAUUGAAGCCGUCCUCAGGAACUGAGUUAUGUGUUUGUGAUCCAUGAAACAGUUACUACCACGCAUUGGGCCCGAAACCAAUGGACCCUCUCGGCUUCUUGAUCACCCUUGUCCUCUGUCCAGGAGUUGCAACUAGUUUCUGGUGUUUAUAGGAUAUGUGUUGGCGGCCGUGCGUAGCGCUGACCCUAGGGGUGGGCUAUGUUGCGGUAGAUACACCGUGGCACGGUGUACCGGGCGCCCGUUUGGUGUCUCGGGAACCCUGUUCACAUCGUUCGGGGCCGUAUGUGGAAACCUCGGCCGGACUCCCUGCGGAUGGAACCUGGAUAGGCGAUAAACCUGGACUAGAGACUUGAGUGUUUAGGUAGGCCGUGGCCGACACCCUCGUUGGGCUUUCGCUUCAAGGUUGCCGAGUACAUGUCGUGUAAAUGGCGGUAAGUGGUGAGAGCGUGUGUGAAGAAGUACACCCCUGCAGGGUUAACAUCAUCUAUUCGAAUAGCCGUGUCCGCGAUAAAGGACUUCUGGGUUGCCUAUAACAGUUCAUAGACAAGUGAAAGUGGAUACUCUAAAACUCGCAAGAUAAGUGUGAGUGCUAUGGAUGGCCUUCUCGUAGGGAGACGAGAGUGGAUCCAUAGUGGUGUAUUGAAUGGUGAAUAUGUGGACUCGUGUGCGCCACCUCAAAAGAGUUGCUUGCAGUCGUAGUUCAGAUUAGCCACUGAGUCAAAGCUGGCUUGCUGCAGUUAAACUCCACCACCUCCCUUGUUGAUACCGAUGCAUAUGUAGUUCGGUUCUGAUGUAAGUCUUGCUGAGUACUUUUGUACUCACGUUUGCUUAAUUUAUGUUUUGCAGAGAGAUUUCAGUCUCGCUAGUAUAUCCGCGUGGACUUCGACAUUUAGCUUGUUACCUCAGCUACGAUCUUGUGCCCUCGGCAGGAUCUGGUAGGUAGUCAGGCUUCUUAGCAUUUUUCAUUUGUAGAUGUCUGUACUCAGACAUGUUAAGCUUCCGCAUGUGCUUUGCAUUGUAUGCUAUGACUGCUGGGUCAUGAGACCCAUGUUUGUAAUAUCUCGCUCCUCGGAGCCUAAUGAAUAAAUACUGAAGUCGUAGAGUUAUGUUGUGAUGCCAUGUUGUAUUUACACAUAUCGAGCAUAUUGUGUGUAUGAUUGAAAUGCUUGCUAUGUGUGGGAUCCGACAAUCUAGUUGUUUAUCCUUGGCAGCCUCUCUUAUGGGGAAAUGUAGUCUAGUGCCUUCUUGAGCCAUAGUAGUCCGCUACAGCCCGGUUCACCGGAGUCCUGCUAGCCCAGCACUACUGCUCAGGACACUUGACUGGCCGGCAUGUGUUUCACUUCGUUCCUGUGUCUGUUCCUUCGGGGAAAUGUCACGCCGUGACAUCCGGAGUCCUGCCUAGCCUACUACAGCCCGGGUUCCCGGAGUCCUGUUAGCCCAGUGCUACAGCCCGGAUUCACACGCUGCUGACCGACAUGCUCGAUGUGAUUCAUGUAUGCCUGUCCCCAUAGGUUAGUGCCGCUUUGGGUUCACGACUAGCCAUGUCGGCACGGGUUCUCUGUCAUAUGGAUGCUAGCAACACCAUCAUAGUCAAAAGGCGCAAACGGUCCCGGGCCAUGGUAAGGCGACACCCAUGGGAUACCGUGCGUGAGGCCGCAAAGUGAUAUGAGGUGUUACCGUCUAGAUCAAUGUGGCAUGGAAUCGGGGUCCUGACACCACCCUUGGACGCCAUCCUGACGAUCUCCGGAGCCCCCCCUUUGUCGGGGAAGGCCCUUUGGGACACCACCUCAUCAUCAUCCUUGGGCAAGGCAGAGUGAACAGGUGGCGGCGACAUGCUAGCCAUCUCCUUUGAGUCUAGCGAGCCCUCUGUCGAGGAUUGCGGAGAACUAUCGCAGGCCAGACUGCAAUAGCAUAAAUUAAACAUAUUAAUAUUGCAAAGGGGAAGGGCCAAACGUUUGGACGGGCAUAAGGUCUUUGGUACUUACGAAGCUGCCCGAGGCUUAGUCCGGGGCAUUCGUUUCGGACUGCUAUCGACAUCCCACGUGGAGUUAUCCAUGACGGAGCCCUUCCCCCUCUUGGGUGCCUUCGCCUCCGGGUUCGUGGAGGCCACCCUUUUCUUCCUUCCCCCUCAGGGGGGAAUUGUCUUCUUCCUCCUCCUCGUCGCUGUAUUCGGCGACCGAAGGGUCGGUCUCGUCUCCGGAUGACAGUUCCGAAGUAUCCUUUCGACGAAGGCCACUCCUGGUCCCCUUGGCUGCCUUUUUGAUCUUCUUCUCUGGCACGUCAUAAGGCGUCUGGAACAACAUCUUCGUCAGGAGUGGGGUCUCUUCGUCUUCGGGUAGCGGGGCUGGACAGUUAAUCCGCCUCGCUAUCUCAAUCCAGGCCUAAGGAAAAAAUUGAUAGGAGAGCUUAGACCUCUUUCUCACAACAUGCUAGUAAAGGUUAUGCCUUGAGAGCGUGAAAGAACUUACCGAAUUAGCUUGGCGCUUUGAGCUAAGCCCACAAUCCUCGGUUGUAGGCGGUGGCAUCUCGCCGGCCUUGAAGAGCACUUUCCAGAUAUCCUCGUGCAUUGUGCUGAAGAGCUCUAGCAGCGUCUGGUGCUUGGCCGGAUAGAAUUCCCAUAAAUAGCAAGUCCGGCGUUGGCACGGGAGGAUCCGACGGAUGAGCAUAACCUGGAUCACAUUGACAAGCUUAAUCUAUUUGGAUAUCAUGUUCUGGACACACGUCUGGAGCCCUGUCAGCUCGCCCGGAGAACCCUAGGUUAGGCCCUUCUCUUGCCAGGAGGUGAGCCGCAUCGGAACUCCGGAUCGGAAUUUGGGGGCUGCCGUCCAGUUGGUGUCACGCGGAUCGGUGAUGUAGAACCACCCUGAUUGCCACCCCUUCACCGUCUCCACGAAAGAACCUUCGAGCCAGGUGACAUUGGGCAUCUUACCCAACAUAGCUCCUCCGCACUCUGCUUGUUGGCCUCUCACCACCUUUGGCUUCACAUUAAAGGUCUUCAGCCAUAGGCUGAAGUGAGGUGGGAUGUGGAGAAAGUCCUCACACACGACUAUAAAUGUCGAGAUAUUGAGGAUAAAGUUGGGGGCUAGAUCAUGGAAGUCUAGCCCAUAAUAAAACAUCAAUCCGUGGACAAAUGGGUGGAGAGGGAAUCCCAGCCCGCGGACAAAAUGCGUGAGGAACACCACUCUCUCAUGAGGCUCGGGGGUGGGGACGAUCUGUCCCUCGGCCGAAAGUCGGUGAACGAUCUCCUUGGCCAGGUAUCCGGCCUCUCGGAGCUCCUCCAUAUCUUUCCUCUUAAUGGAGGAGGUCAUCCACUUGCCGCCGGCUCCGGAUCCGGACAUGGCUGGGUGCUUGUUUGAAUGGGGCAAAUGAGAACUUGGGCGUUGCUCAAGAACGGAGAGCCGGAGGAAAGCGUGGGAGAAGAAAGGGGAAUCUUAUCUCCUUAUNNNNNNNNNNNNNNNNNNNNNNNNNNNNNNNNNNNNNNNNNNNNNNNNNNNNNNNNNNNNNNNNNNNNNNNNNNNNNNNNNNNNNNNNNNNNNNNNNNNNNNNNNNNNNNNNNNNNNNNNNNNNNNNNNNNNNNNNNNNNNNNNNNNNNNNNNNNNNNNNNNNNNNNNNNNNNNNNNNNNNNNNNNNNNNNNNNNNNNNNNNNNNNNNNNNNNNNNNNNNNNNNNNNNNNNNNNNNNNNNNNNNNNNNNNNNNNNNNNNNNNNNNNNNNNNNNNNNNNNNNNNNNNNNNNUUACCCGCACACGUAUUGAUGAGAAUCCCGUGAUAAGGGGACACGAUCUCUGCUUUGACAAGACAUGCUAAUGACAACCGUGUCUCGAAACGUGGGGCGAAAAAUGGUUCGAAAUUAUGACCGGACAGGCGUGACGUCACAUUACUAAAGUUGUCAGCAGAUUGGACUUGUGUGUUAUUAUAUUCUCUCUACGGUUGUGUGCGGUGUGUGUUACAGGUCCGAACACGAUCAAUUCGUCUGAAGACUAUUCGGGAGUUCGGAAGGAGGAACCCACCUUACAAUGCCGAAGAUAGCACUAUGCGUCGGAUACCUUGUCAUUGAAGCCAGGUUCAAGGGCUACUGAGGGAAUCCUGGACUAAGGGGUACUCGGGCGUCCGGCCUGUUAUCUAUGGACCGGACUGAUGGGCUGUGAAGAUAUGAAGACCGAAGACGGUGCCCGUGUCCGGAUGGGACUCUCCUUGGCGUGGAAGGCAAGCUUGGCGAACAACUAUGAAGAUUCCAUCUUAUGUAACCGACUCUAUGUAACCCUAGAUCCCCCCAAUGUCUAUAUAAACCGGAGGGUGUAGUCCGGAAAAGAUAUACUCAAUACCGUAGUCAUACAGGCUAGACUUCUAGGGUUUAGCCAUUACGAUCUCGUGGUAGAUCAACUCUUGUAAUACUCAUAUUCAUCAAGAUCAAUCAAGCAGGAAGUAGGGUAUUACCUCCAUAGAGAGGGCCCGAACCUGGGUAAACAUCAUGUCCCCUGUCUCCUGUUACCAUCAACCUCAGACGCACGGUUCGGGGCCCCCUACCGGAGAUCCGCCGGUUUUGACACCGAUAGCUGCCUCAUCAUCCCACCCUCCCCUCGACCUUCCCCCACCGUCGUGCUGGCCGACGCCCUGACCAUCCCUCUAAGUCCCACACCACCGAUGAACAACUCUGAUGAUCCCCUGCAACCCCAGCCCUAUGAUAGAUAAUGGGGUUGUGGCUCCCCCUAAUAAGGUAAAUAAUGAGGCUAUGGCUUCCCUCUAAGACAGAUAGUGAUGUUGCUUCUUCGACGAGGUACCCCCGAAAAGAAGGAAAUAAGAAGAAAAGGUGACUAACACAACAGAAAAAUUCAUGUACCUGAGAAAUAGCAAAAUUGGACAAGCUUUCAUGUUCGAUCAUACCUGGUGCUAAACCGCCGCCCUUGCUGAAACAUAAACUCUCCGCCUGUGUGCGAAGAUAUGGAAUAUGUUGCCAAAGAACAAGAAAUGUGGAAUAGAUAAAUGCACAUCUUCUAUGUCCCACUGAUUUCCAUCUCGAUUAUACUAUAAACAAGUGAGUUGAGGAAGAAACAUUAGAUCUCAGCCACAUAUCUAUCAUUCAUCAGUGGACCAGGUUGUUCGAAUGUUGUGUCACACUAAAUUCACAUAUAUAUUAAUAAGUUUUAAUCAUCUUCACAACACUUUAGUUAGGAAUCAUUACACCUUAAUUACAGUUCAUUAGGAAACAAAUCGUCACACCAUAUAUCACGCAUUAUCUCCAGAACACCUUAAUUAGGCAUCAUUGCACCUUAAUUACACCUUCAUUAGGCAAUAAAUUGUCACACCAUAUAUCACGUAAUAAUUGAAAAAAACACAUUAGCCAAAAUCACGCACCGCACACUCCCACCAUCAUGCCCCUCCUCCAAAAAUGCCUUUGCUCACGUGAAAAGAACAACGCACUGGACGCACGUCUGCGUCCAUCGCUCCCAUCCAACUCGAGCAACACCUGCCGGUGGCGCUCCUGUUUGCUCCGCCUGUGCAGAUCCACUUGCUUCAUCGGCGCCGGGUCGCCGAACGAGAACAUCCCUACAACACCCACUAUCAUAUGUGCUCAACACCAACGAAUCCUCUGUCGGUCCCAAUGUGAUUUACAGCCAGUGCUAUCAUUUUCUAUGGAUGAUCCCUCGCAUAAACAGUCGCUAUCUCCUUCUUCAGGGAACGACAAUACAACUUAUCCGGUAUUUGAGAUGAUAAGCACGCUGCUAUUUCAUCAAUUUUCUGGAACAUGCUAAUUAGAUACAUAAUGUUUUAUCUAUUGUGAACGUCAGAAUUAUCUCAGUAUUUUUUUAGAACGUAGACACUAGAACGUCCGGCUUUAAAUUAAUAAAGCCACUAGGCAGCAUCCACAGAUAGUUUAAACAUACAGACCAUACGGCGGGCCACAUAUCCCCGAAUAGUCUAGGCUAAAUAAAAUCAGUUUCUAGCCACCAUAGGAGGAGCUUAACAUGCCCAAAAGACCAGCUAAACAUCAAACAAGCUCGGCGCAAAAGUCUCAAACUGGCACAUCUGUCUGUCGUGCCUUCACCAUAGUCAUCUUUAUCUGCUCCAUGAUCCCGUCCAUACGGUCCGCGCCACGUGUCUUCCCAAUGGUGCGCAAAUCUGUAGGAAAAUGUGGCAUUUGAAGAUAAUAUCAUUUGGGUGAGUAGGGAACUUUUGUUCAAUCGUAAAUUUGUUCCAAACCGACCAAAGAGACCAAAGCAGCGCCCCUACGCAUCGCCAUACAAUCCUAGCAUUAUCUCAGUAUUUUGAUUCCCUAUUUUAGCUUUCCGUAUGUAACCAUAGUUUUCUUACAAAGCGGGGCGGAGGCUAAGGGUGGUAUGCUCAUCUAACUGGCCAGAAAAAGGCACAAUACCUUGGAAAACAAUGAAAAACCUGCCAAGUUAAGAAGGAUGUGGCCACGUCAUUUGUACCUUAAUCCGAGGCUGUUGAGCGUGUGCCCUUUAAAGAUGUCACAAAUACAUUGGCGAAAGGACAAUCUUUACCAAUGGAGCAGUCCUUUUUUCAAUCUUCGAGCCGACUUUCGAAGGUAGAAGUCAUGAUUUAGACUUUGUAAUACUCUUUCCGUUUUUAUUUACUCCGCACAUUAGCUUUGUCCUAAGUUAAACUUUAUAAAGUUUGAUCAAGUUUAUCAAAAACCAUCUAAACUUUCAUAAUAAAAAUAUAUAUGGUAUGAAAAUAUAUUGGAUGGCGAUUCCAGUGGUAUCGAUUUGGUAUUGUGGAUGUUAAUAAAUUUUUGUAUAAACUUGGUCAAAAUUUAAAAAGUUUGACUCGAGACAAAGAUAAUAUGCAAAGUAAAUAAAAAUGAAGAGAGUAUUUAGUAGUACAUCACUUAUUUAUUUUUGCUGACAGUUUGCCUAUUAACUAGGAUGAACAUGUUUCUUCUUCGUAAGGAAUACAUGCAUGCUAAUUAUUCCCUCUGUUCUAAAUAUAAGUCUUUUUAGAGAUUUCACUAUGAACUACUCCCUCCGUUCCUAAAUAUUUGUCUUUCUAAACAUUUCAAAUGACUACUACAUACGGAUGUAUGUAGACAUAUUUUAGAGUGUAGAUUCACUCAUUUUGCUCCGUAUGUAGUCACUUGUUGAAAUGUCUAGAAAGACAAAUAUUUAGGAACGGAGGGAGUACAUACGGAACAAAAUAGAUGAAUCUAUGCUCUAAAAUAUGUCUAUAUGCAUCCGCGUGGAGUUUGUAGUGAAAUCUAAAAAAUACUUAUAUUUACGAACGGAGGGAGUAGUUUUGUUAAACCGAGCAGCAUGUCGCGCGAUUAAUACCUGAGAUUCGGAGGUGGUGCGCAUAAGAAGGCACUUAGAAAACCAGAAGACAAACACAUAGGACGGUGGCAGCAGCGUCGGUGCUCACAAGAAGAUGUACCAUAUACCUCGCAAAAGAAAAGAUGUCCCAUAUGAAGCGGGGGGGGUGGGAACAAUCAUGUAGUUCAUCACCACCAGGUAGUGCCGCCUCUUUUCUGCUGAAAAGACCGCAAACGUACGAUGAAAUCGACAUAGAGACACACCAACAAAGUAGCACCACAGCAGACAGCGGCAUCAUCGUGAAAUGGACGAGCACCGGCGUGCUCACCGCUCCUCACGCAGAUAGGGAUUCUCUAAUAGUGUCAUGCUCGACGGGCUUAAAGCCUAGACGCAUGCAUGUAGGCACCAAGUUCUGUGCCCUGCCGUGCCAUCUUCAUCAUCUUCAGUAGGUAGGAAACGCUGGCGCACAAGCUAAUGACGGAAACAAAUAGCAGGCGUCGUGUUAAAAGAAAAAACCUAAAAUUUAAAAAGUGCAUACGCACUUCUUGAUUGAAUUGAGCGGCCGCGUCUCGCAUGCAUGUGGUUGUUAAUUUUUUGUCUUCUAGUGCAUGUGGUUGUUAGUAUUAAAUGUGUUCACACUAAUUACUCCAUUCCGAACAAAACAUAUCCACGCAUAUUCAUUUCAGAGUUUUAAAUUUUAAAAAGUCAUAUCUUUCAAACCGUGCGUCGGGAUUUGAUUUUUCACUGCUGGAACUCUUGCGACGAGAUCUUUAAAACUAGAUCCCGCAUGAGUAUGUUUCGACGAAUUUUUUUUGAUGCCAACUUUGAUGCUAUAUAGUGCAACUUUAGUACUGUAUUGUGCAACUUUAGUACUACAUCGUGCAACUUUUUGCAAAACCAAUUUUUGGAUCUGCAUAAUUCAACUUCCUAUGAGAUUGCAUUCUAGCAACCAUGACAACUUUGAUGUUUAGUUGACAAGACUAUUGGCACACACAUAUGCUCAGUUGGCGCGAUAAUGUAGUCUAGUUCACACAUUGAUAUUUAGUUGACACGACUAUUUACACACACAUAUGCUUAGUUGGCGCGGCAAUAUAGUUUAGUUGCACACAUAUUGAUGUUUAAUUGGCAGGACUAUUGACACACAUAUAUGCUCAGUUGGCACGGCAAUGUAGUCUAGUUGCACAGACAUUGAUGUUUAGUUGGCAUGACUAUUUGGCACACAUAUAUACUCAGUUGGCGCGGUAAUGUAGUCUAGUUCCACACAUUAAUGUUUAGUUGGGAGUGCUAUUUUGGAACACACAUAUGCUCAGUUGGCGCGACAAUGUAGUUUAGUUGCGCAUACAUUGAUGUUUAGUUGGCAGGAAGACUAGUUCGCCGAAACAUGUCCAUGUGGGAUCUACUUUUGAAGAGCACGUCGCGAGGGUUUCAACAGUGAAAACGGAACUGAAUUUCGACGCGCGGUUUAGAGGAUGUCUUUUAUAAUUUUGAAAAACAAAAAUUGAUGCAGAAGGAUGAACAUGAGGAAAAUUAAUGCAGUGGCAUGCAGGCAUCCAUCACGUGAGAAGAGACCACACAAAAUAAUUAAUUAACAGUGUCAUUUUUAACAUUUUUAGAUUACACUAAUUUUAACUCCGAGUACCUCAUCCACUUUGGCAUCGACACGCCGCGCCCGCAGCAUGUGGCGCUGACGCUCGACACGGGCAGCGACCUCAUCUGGACGCAGUGCUUCUGCCAGGUCUGCUUCCCACAGCCGUUCCCGGAGCUGGAUACCUCCGCCUCCGGCACAGCCCGCGGCGUCUCCUGCUUUGACCCCCUCUGCGUGCAGGGGGGCUUCUCGCUCUCCGGGUGCGCCGUCGGCGACAACUCCUGCGUCUACACCGACUCGUACGGCGACAACUCGAUCACGACGGGGAGGAUGUACCAAGACACCUUCACCUUCCAGCAGGCGGCCAACGGCAAGGUCGCGGUCGUGCCCAACCUCCGGUUUGGUUGCGGCAUGUUCAACACCGGGACCUUUGGAUCAAACGAGUCCGGCAUCGCCGGCUUCGGCCGGGGGGUGUUGUCUCUGCCGUCACAACUCAAGGUCGGCAGGUUCUCCCACUGCUUCACCACCAUCGUGGAGUCCAGGCCCAGCCCCGUGUUCCUGGGCACGCCGGACAACCUCGAAGCGCAGGCCACGGGACCUAUCCAAUCCACCCAGCUGGUGCGGAACCCCAAAUCCAAUCACUACUACCUUUCGCUCAAAGGCAUCACCGUCGGCAAGACGCGGCUGCCCUUUGACGCGUCGGCGUUCGCGCUCAAGGGCGACGGCUCCGGCGGGACGAUCAUCGACUCCGGCUCGGCCCUGACGAGCUUCCCGGAGGCCGUGUACCGGAGCCUCGUGGAGGCGUUCGAGUCGCAGGUGCCGCUGCCAGUCAACAAAAACAACACCGCCGAGCACGUUGGCUUGUUGUGCUUCACCGUCUCGCCGAAGAAGAAGGAGACCGCGAUGCCGAAGCUGAUCCUCCACCUGGAGGGCGCGGACUGGGACCUCCCACGGGAGAACUACGUGAUGUACACCGAGGAGGACGGGCUGUGCGUGGUGGUAAAUUCGGCGGGCGAGGACAGCAGGUCGCUCAUAGGCAACUUCCAGCAGCAGAACACGCACGUCGUCUACGACCUGGAGCACAAUAUGCUGCUCUUCGUGCCCGCGCGCUGCGACAAGCUCCUGUGAUACGGAUACGUCAACGUACGUGUGUAUUGUGUAUCGUUCUACGUAUGUAUGUACGUAUGUACUGGUCACAUACGUUUACCGGCACUAAGAACGCGUGAAAAGGAACAACCGUUCUCUACGUACCAGUGCUAAAUAAACAAGGUAAGAAACUAAGCUAGUGUUUGUUUAUACCUGGUCUGAUAUGACAUAGUUGUAGACAUAUCCACAUGCGAUAGAUUUCUGGUACAUGUUUCUACUUGUACUGAAUGUCGAGUGCGCCAACACGAUUUUCUCUUGAUAAUGCGAGAGAAUGUCUACAGCAGAAGAUAUAGACAACCUAAUCAUUAGUGGUUCAAAACAUAAAGAAGCACACAAUAAUAAGCUUACAAACACACUGAAAACUCGGUACCAUGCAAGCGGCAAUGCUACACCUACGUAAACAUCAAACAUAAAUUAAUGUAAUAGUUUAGAUGGCCUUUUUCUAUUGGAGGAAAUCAGGGGAGGAGAACCCACCCAGUUGAAAUCGGGGGUGGAGAGAUUAGUUAGAGCAUCUCCAAGAGUGGCCGCAUAAACCGCGUGCGCGGUAAAAUGCGACUUUAGCGCGCGCGAGACGGUUUCGCGUGCUCCAGCUGAGGCAGAAAACUCAAGCGCGCGCGUGAAAGAAAGCGGAAGGUCGCGCGCUAGAUUUGGCGCGCCUAUAAAUUGCUGCGCCCGCCACACGGCCUCCCAUCGCUAUCCACAUCGCCACGCGCUCUCUCUCGCUUCCCUGCCCCGCCGCCGGGGAUCUUCGGGCUACCGCGGCGUCCGCGAGCGCCCCUCCGCGCCUUCUACGCUAAGAUUCGGUCCGGCGACGUCCGCCUCGGCCUCCGCACGUUCGAGAUUGCGCACGAGGCCGCCCGCGCGUACGAUGCGGGCGGCGUGGCGCCUCGGGAGGCCUCGCCCACAGAUGAACUUUCAGGACGUCUGGACGUGCGAGCAGGCGCGGGCCAUCGCCCCUCCGCCGCGGCUAAUAACUGACACCGACCGCCAGGAACACUGUCGGCGGCAGCGCCGCCUACUCAUCGCCAAGGCGGACGAGCGAGCCAUGGCAGAGUGGCGCCAGCGCCACCCGGAGGACGGCGCCAACGAGAAUGUCUUCUGGGCAGAGAGGAGGACAAGGCAACGUGCGGAAUGGGCGGACAGGCGUCGUCGGAAGGCACUCGCGAUAUCACAGUGCGAUCUGGGAGCGGCAUCAUUCUUCUCUAGCGACGAUGAGUGGUGGCAAGACGCGUGGCUUGAUACGUCGGACGACACAAGCGAGGAGGGGGACAACGACUCGGAGUAGUUUCUAGUUGCACCGUAGUUUUUACCUCGGAUUAGUGUCUUUUUUUACCUAUCUAUGCUAGAUGAACUAUCUAUGUAUCGCUUUUUUUUAUCUAUGUAUCGCUUUUUUUAUCUAUGUCUACAGUUUUUUAUUUGUUUUGAGUGCAUAGCGCAGUUUUAUUUUUUGCAGCGCCUGCCGAAGCAAAUGUUUUUUUAUUGCGCGGCUAUUGAAGAUGCUCUUAGGCAAGUUACGUAGGAGUAUGUAGAUUUUCUGCCACUCAUGCCAGAAGAUAAAACCUCCAUGCCGUUAUAUGGAACAAGGAGAUGUGAAAGGAGCAUGAAAUGCGGAAUAAAAAAAGCCAGACGUCCAUGUCGCACUCCCAGCCCCACUGAAUUUGAGACACUCCUAUGUGGCGAGCAAAAGGUGAUUAGGACCGUGGCAGCAUCAAGUUCACAAGGAUAUGUACCAGCUGGCCAUGUGGAGAACAAUCAUCUCGUUUCCCACCGGAUAGUGCCUCUUUUCCAUUGAAAAGACUGCAAACAUAUCACAAAAUCGACACGAGACACACCGACAAAGUAGCACGGCAACAGCAACAGCGUCGCGAAAUGGACGAGCACCGGCGUACUCAUUGCUCAUCGAGCAAACAUGAAAACCACAUUAUCUUAUAGCAUCAUUGUCCGCGGAUAGGGAUAGGCCGGCUAGGCUUAAAGCCUAGGUGCAGGCACUAAGUUCUGUGCCCAAUGUGCCAUUGACGGUGCCUUUGCCAUCUUCAGAGGUUGUUGAUGCAGCACAAGCAGGAGAGUGCGAAAAGAAGAUGAGCAGCGGUCUACUAAGCAUCUGCCCUUCUUGUAUCCGAAUGUGAGGUCGAAUCUGAUCCUAAAUUUAGCACAUUUAGCACACAAGUAGUACAUUCCCUUAUGGUACACUACAAAUCCUUUGGGGUUAUUUUACACAUACUACCCUGAUUUUUCUUGUCCUUCUGGAUGAGAAGUAUUACUAGUUUCAGAUUCACUCUAUCGGUAUUCGGUGAUCAGUAGGCAAUGGUCAAUUGUGCGACGGACUAAAUGGCUACCAGCAGUGGCAGAGCUUCAUGGGGGCCAAAGGGGGCCAUUGUCCCCCCUACUCUAGAAAAAAUCUUGAGUGUAUCCCUAAAAAUUUCUAAGAAAUCAUGCGUUCGCCCCCUCAACAAUCUUUAUCAAACUCCGCCACUGGUUACCAGGGCAUGUAGGUUGAAGAGCCAACAGACUACCCGAGAACACACAAAGAGGUAAGAAUCAUCAACUCAACAAGCCCUUUUUCUUUUGAUAAAAGAAUGGCUCUCCCCUUCUGAUUUUUAUUAAGAAAACCCAACCAGACCGAGUGAUGUUACAGAGUUCAAAACGCACACCAACGCAGCAGACCUAUCUACUAGGACCUGAAACACCCCUCCAUCCUUCACAUCAGAGGGUAGAGCAGCCCAGAAUAAGGCAGAAAUCCCCACUAGAGCAAGUUUUUUAUCUUCUUUUCGAAAUGUUUUUAUCCAGGGCCCUAGGAACUCCUCAAUAGAUACAGGAGUUUUCCUCAGCCCAAAUGCACAUUGCAACAAGCUCCAGAAUCAACUCAACGAGCCUGAACCAACGGAGCUCUUUUGCUUCCAUUAACUAAGCCCGCAUGGCAGCGCAGCCGCAGGACGAGACACUGCAGCCACCGCUGGUGGGCUGUUGGGCUCUCACACGACCAUGCAUUUGGUUAGAUAGACUGUGGGACAAGAGAAAAUGGAGAUUAUAAUCCAAAAGACAGUGUGACUUUAACUUUCCCCGGCUCGCGACUGCAUUCCACACAGUUACCAGCAGUUAAACCUAUAGUCUGAAGCAGCGCUAGGAAACGAUGACACGCAAGCUAAUACAAAUAACAUCAUCGAGAUGGAAGGGAAAAACAUAACAAACUCAACUAUCGUUAUUGUACAUGCUACUGUAGUAGCUAACAAUCAAAAAAAAAUCAAUGAAAAUAAGACCCUUGCAACAACUCUAUUAGAUGUGUCAUAUGUGGCAGAUCGCCAUAAUAACAGCUAGUAUAAAAAUCAACACGCAAAAAUGCACUCUAGCAGAGUCCGACAUAUGCGCUGUGAUCGGCAUAAUUUAUGAAGCUCGCUCCAAAAACGAGACCUCAGUGCCUCAAAAUAUGGAGGCUGUGGAGGCCAACCACCCUCGUAGUCCUAGACCUUUUGUAUUAAUACAUUAACUGAAAGGUAUUUAUGCAUCCAACAUUCGUCAAAUCCGGGAAGGAGGUUCAUCUAUCAAACUCCACCUGCUCAAAUCUGCAUUCUUGCUUUUAAGAGCCUGGCAUGUGCAGGCCAACUUUCUAAUAAUCGUUCUUACUACCAGCACCGGGAUUUGCUGAAUCUAGUCGGAAAUACGAAGGAGAACCUGCUCACGCCACCCCCCUAAAUCUCAUCAUUCAAGGUUCAUCCAAAGCCGUCAGUAAUUAGUAUCUCUUUGAUUUUCUUCUGUGUAUAAUUACGACAGUCAACCCGCAUAUAAUUAGUAUUUCGCAUUCAAGUGGGUUCUGCUCAUGUCAGCAUUAAAUGAUGAAUCCUGCGCUUAUCUGAAAUCUCCUGCCAACCCACCACGCAUAUAUAAUGCCUCAAUCAACCUGUCUUGAUUAAUAGCCAGAUUAAUAACGCAGAUCAUAUGCAAAUGCUAAUUUGUCGCCUCGUUUUUCUCUAAUUAAGAAUCGGACGACUAAUUAAUCCAAAAAUACUUUCACUUUGGUUUCUAAACCGAUUUUUUAAGCCAAAACUAUUUAGUCGCUUCAAUUUUCUCAAAUUAAGGACCAUACGACUAAUUACAUCUGAAAUACAUGCACUAAUUAAUAACCUCCUUUUUGCUCUAAUUAAGGAUCAGACGACUAAUAUAUCCGAAGUACUUUCACUUUUCUUUUUGAGUUGGAACAUUUUGAGCCGAAAUACUUGCACUGGUUAAUCGCCUCAUCUUUAUCUAAUUAAGAAUUAGGUGACUAAUACAUUCGAAAUGCUUUUACUUUGCUUUUUGAACCAAAACGUUUUUAGCCCAAACACCUGCACUAAUUAAUCGUCUCAUUUUCGCUAUAAUUAAGGAUCAGGACUAACACAUUCGAAUCUUUCACUUUGCUUUUGAACUGAAAUGUUUUUAGGCCGAAAUACUUACACUAAUUAAUCACCUCGUUUGUUAUAGUCGUGUGUUGUGUUUUCUUUCUUUAAUUGAUCGGCAUGCAAUGGAUUGGUCAUUAGUCGAGGAUUAACCCCGUAAAACAGGAUAUUUAUUCAUCUCACACACACAGUUCACAUACAAAAAAGCACGUCAGCGCAUUUACAGAAACAUUGAAGAACCUGGCCAACUUUCAUUACUAUGCAUGACCGAACUCCUCUUCUAAUCUGCACCAGAAUGUCACCUCCGCAGAGAGCAAGGCCGUAUACACGGCGUAUUAGCCAUCAAAGUUUCUUUACUGAUUUCAUAAAUGAAACUCCACUACCUUAACCACACAUCUUAAAGACAUCCUGCACCGUCAAGAUACAACGGGCGCGCGCCGCCCGGAGCCAAAAGUGCGCUUCCGAAUCUAGUCAUCAAUCCCAGAAUGAUACGUCUACUGUUCAUGGAAUUAAAACAAUAGACGUAUCAAAAAACAACCAGAAGUAAGAAAACAAUGUGGACAUUCCUUCGGCUGAUUCCACUUCAGUGUUCAUAGACCGUUACAAUAUGCAAAAGCAUCUCAUCAGUUGUGAGGCAUAUUAUUAACAUAGUAGUGCCUUCAAACAAAAACCUAGCGUGUUACGCGCUCAAAAUUUCCGAGUUCUCUGCCGACAUCUCAGACGUUAUUUGAGGGGGUACUCCUCAAACAGGACUUGCUAAACAAACUGUUUACAACAAUUACAAUUUGCCUCGUCGUCGCAAUCAUCUCUC
rnacentral:lncRNA from 1 species